rnacentral:lncRNA from 1 species
GCAGUGUCCUUGGCUGGUCAGCAUGCGCUUCCAAAAAUAUUGGAAGCUGUCAAAAUGCUGAGAGAUCUCCCAAAGGAAGUUAGAGACAUUACAGAUGAACUUGAAAGCUUUCAAGAUUUCAUCAAUGAUGCUGAUAAAGUGGCUGAAGCUGAACAAGAUGAUGGAAGGCGUCAUAGAAUAAAAGAAAGGGUGAUGCGGCUGAGAGAAGUAGCUUUUUGCAUGGAAGAUGUCAUUGAUGACUAUAACAUCUCCUGUGAGGAUAAGCAACCUGAUGAUCCUCGAUGUGCAGCUUUACUAUGUGAGGCUGUUGCCUUCAUCAAAACUCAAAUCCUUCUCCUUCAAAGUGCAUAUAAGAUUCAGGAUGUAAAAUCCCUUGUUCGUGCUGAAAGAGAUGCUUUCCAAAGCCAUUUUCCAUUAGAGCAAAGACCAACCAGUUCUAGAGGAAAUCAAGAUGGAAGAUGAGGUUGUGGGGCUUGAUGGCCCUAGAGGUAUAUUGAAAAAUUGGUUGACAAAGGGAAGAGAAAAACGCACUGUCAUAAAUUGGUUGACAAAGGGAAGAGAAAAACCACUCUUGCCAAGCAAGUUUAUGACCAGGUGCGUAACAAUUUCGAGUGCCAUGCGUUGAUCACAGUUUCUCAAUCCUUCUCUGCUGAAGGAUUGCUGAGGCAUAUGUUGAAUGAGCUUUGCAAAGAAAAAAAGGAGGACCCUCCCAAGGAUGUUUCUACCAUCGAGUCGUUGACAGAAGAAGUCAGAAACCGCUUGCACAACAAGAGGUAUGUUGUCUUGUUUGAUGACGUAUGGAAUGGAAAAUUUUGGGAUCACAUUGAAUCUGCUGUAAUUGAUAAUAAAAAUGGAAGUAGGAUAUUAAUCACAACCAGGGAUGAGAAGGUUGCAGAAUAUUGUAGGAAAUCAUCAUUUGUUGAGGUGCAUAAGCUAGAAAAACCUUUAACUGAAGAAGAAUCUUUGAAAUUGUUCUGUAAGAAGGCAUUUCAGUAUAGUUCCGAUGGAGAUUGUCCAGAAGAACUUAAAGAUAUAUCUCUUGAAAUUGUUAGAAAGUGUAAAGGUUUACCUCUAGCAAUAGUGGCCAUUGGUGGUCUUUUGUCUCAAAAAGAUGAAAGUGCACCUGAAUGGGGACAGUUUAGUCGAGAUCUAAGUUUAGACUUGGAGAGGAAUUCUGAGUUAAAUAGUAUAACAAAAAUUUUAGGUUUAAGUUAUGAUGAUUUGCCGAUCAAUCUCAGAUCAUGUUUAUUGUAUUUCGGAAUGUAUCCGGAGGACUAUGAAGUUACAUCUGAUAGAUUGAUUAGACAGUGGAUAGCUGAAGGGUUUGUCAAACAUGAAACCGGAAAAACAUUGGAAGAAGUUGGGCAACAAUAUUUAUCAGGGUUGGUCCGUAGAAGUUUGGUGCAAGUAUCCUCAUUUAGAAUUGAUGGCAAAGUUAAAAGGUGUCAUGUUCAUGACUUAAUACACGACAUGAUCCUUAGAAAAGUCAAGGAUACAGGAUUUUGUCAGUAUAUUGACGGGCCUGAUCAAUCUGUAUCAAGUAAGAUUGUUCGACGCCUGACAAUUGCAACCGAUGAUUUUAGUGGAAGUAUAGGAAGCUCACCCAUUCGGUCAAUUCUUAUCAUGACAGGAAAGUAUGAAAAAUUAUCUCAAGACUUGGUAAACAAAUUCCCUACAAAUUACAUGGUACUGAAGGUACUUGAUUUUGAAGGUUCUGGUUUACGUUAUGUUCCUGAAAAUUUGGGGAAUUUAUGCUACUUGAAGUAUUUAAGCUUCCGGUAUACAUGGAUAACAAGUCUACCAAAAUCCAUUGGCAAGCUCCAGAAUUUGGAGACCUUGGAUAUAAGAGACACAAGGGUGUCUAAGAUGCCAGAGGAGAUUCGUAAGCUUACUAAGCUACGUCAGCUUCUGUCUUAUUAUACGGGUUUAAUUCAAUGGAAGGAUAUUGGAGGCAUGACAUCCCUACAAGAGAUACCUCCAGUGAUUAUAGAUGAUGAUGGAGUGGUCAUUGGAGAGGUAGGAAAGCUAAAGCAGUUAAGGGAACUGUUGGUGGUAAAAUUUAGGGGAAAACACGAAAAGACUUUGUGUUCCGUAAUAAAUGAGAUGCCACUCUUGGAGAAACUACAUAUUUAUACAGCUGAUUGGAGUGAAGUAAUUGACUUGUACAUUACGUCACCUAUGUCUACACUUAGGCAGCUUGUCCUAUGGGGGACGUUAACAAGGUUGCCAAAUUGGAUUUUACAGUUCCCAAAUCUUGUGCAACUGUCUUUGGUGGGCUCCAAGUUGACUAAUGAUGCAUUCAAUUCACUAAAAAAUAUGCCAAGGUUGUUGUUCCUGGAUUUAAGUUACAAUGCUUAUGAAGGUGAAACUUUGAAUUUUCAAGGUGGAGGGUUUCAGAAACUAAAGCGACUGCAACUCAGAUAUUUGGAUCAAUUGAAGUGCAUCCUUAUCGACAGAGGAGCACUGUGUUCUGUGGAAGAAAUUGUUUUACAAGACCUCUCCCAACUCAAAACAGUUCCCUCGGGAAUUCAACACUUGGAGAAGCUUAAAGAUCUCUAUAUCAACUACAUGCCAACUGAAUUGGUGCAGCGCAUUGCUCCUGAUGGAGGAGAAGACCACUGGAUCAUCCAAGAUUUGCCCCAUGUACGUAUUUGGAGCAGGGGUGCUGAAGAACCUUCGCAUAUAUUCGGCAGAAGUCAUCACUAAGAUGCGUCCAAAUUUGAAAAUUGAAGGUGCCUCUUUUUCACAUCUAUAACUUUGUAGAAUGACAUUCGUGGCCUUUUUCUUUUCUUCAAUAAAAAAUGCAACCAUUAUCUAAUUCCUAAAAGAAUUACUUUUGCCUCAUUCUCUCUUCUAGUAUUUGCUUCAUUUUUCUUUCUCUACAACAUCUCACGUACAAGUUAGGGAUAGAAUUGUCUAACAAGUAUAGGCCUACACCAACCAAAGUUAACGUUUCUUCAUUAUAAGAUUCUCACCAUUAUAAUCCUUUCUAUUAUUGUGCUCAGAAUUGGUAGAUGUUGACCUCAACUGGAUUGAGUUUUUUAUUUCCAUGUUGAUAAAUACUUGAAAAUUUUCAUUGUAUCAUUUUAAGAAGAAAUUAACUUGGUGUUUUUAUAGGGUCGUAAGCAUAUACUUCGUGUAAAUGUUGUGGGUUUUUAAAGUUUCAUUAUGAUUAAAGUCCAAUAAUGUGGAUUUUUUUCAUAAAUUAGAUUGUGUUAAAUGUUUCUAAUUUUGAUGCUUUGAAGUUUGACCCACUUUGUACAAUCAUGAAUUUAGGAAAGCACUGAGGGAAGAUUGUAAGAGGUGUUCCAAAUUCAAUGUUUCCGACGUUCCAAUCAUGUGGUUUUUGAGUGUUAAUUAUUACGUCCAUUUUAGCGUUAUUAACACCAACACAAUAUGAAGAAGCUAAAAAUAGUGUUCCUACAAAGGCAGACAAUUUUUGACAACGGGAAAACUCAAGAUUCCCUCAAGUUCUUUCUUUUCCAGCUUGUGAAAUGGUGGAUGCAUGAGUGGAUUUGAGGCAUCAAAUUGAUUUUUUAAGCUUCCUUCUUCUCUUUCUCUUGUUUCCCUUUUUUUCUAAAAUGUGUACUCAAAUUUUUGUUAACUUGAUGUAAUUUGAAUUCUUAUCUAUAAUUCAAGUUCAUUUCUUUUAAAUUGAUUGUUUGUCUUUGUUUUAAUUUAAUGCCUUUAUAAAUUGGCAUUUGGUUACUUAUAGUACCUUGAUCGCAUAUUCUUAUCUACAACUGUGAAAUUGAAAUAAAGAUUGAAUUUAAGGUAUAAUGCAACAAGAUUGGAUAUUCUAUAGUAAUAAAUAUCAACAAUUACGCUAAUUUAGGGUGUGUUUGAUUUGUAUUUUCAUUUUCUGUUUUCAUUUUCUGAAAAUUAUUUUCAUUUCCAAAAGAUUAGAAUUCUGAAAAUAUGUUUUGUUUGACUUCUUGUUUUCUGUUUUUAGGAAAUUAAAACACUGAAAAUUUAUGAUAUAUUGACUUCUUGUCUUUUUUUAUUUUUAGAUUUACUUAAAAUUACAUUUAUUGUCAUCACAUUUUUAUUUUACCCAAAAUGAGGUUCCUGUUUAUAACUGAAAACGAAAUUUUAUUGUUUUCAUUUUCUGGUUUUUUUUCUGUUUUUAUUUUCACUGGAAACGUUUUAAAAAAUUCAACCAAACACAUUUUCAUCACCAUUUUCUGUUUUCAGUGAAAAUGAAAACAGAAAACAGUCAAACCAAACACCCCCUUAGAUAUUCUUGAACCUAAUGAUUACCCUAAUUGAGAAAUUCUAAAGAUUUAGAAUUUUCAAUUGCGGAAGAGUUUUUGAAUUAAGAUAUAUUCACCUUCAAUUACAAUAGUAAAUAAUAAAUUCAGUUUCCAAUAUGCUUCUAGAACUUGAAUUGGAGUGAAAAUUUGGGUUGUACAUGUUAAGCUUGGGGUGACCUCGUACGAUAACAAGACAUGUUAGAUCCUCUUAGCAUAGUGCUUCAGCAAUUUUGGUACCCAAACUUUUAUGUUCAGGUUUGAUCCCAUAUUUUUCAAAAAAAAAAAUAAUGGUUGAAUAUAUGUUAUUAAAAUCAAUUUAUAUAUCACUUAUAUGGAGUAAGAUAAAUUUUUCAAGGCUUAAUUUUAUCUUUUUGUCUCAUUCAUUAUUUAUUUUAUUUAAUUUUAUCCUCCUAAUAAUAAAAUCGUUAAUUUGAUUGCUUAAUUUCAAAUCGAUUCAAUUUGGUCUCUUUGCUCCAAAUUCACUUGACGUUGUUUAUUAAUUGUGGGAUGGGAUUGAAUCAAAUAAAGGAACAAAUUAAAUUGUUUAUUAAAAUUGAAAAAAAAAAUGAAAAAACAGUGAGAACAAGAAGUUUAUUAAGGGGUCAAAUUGCACCGUUUUGAAAAUUAAAGUACUAAAUUAAAUUUUUUAUUAAUAAAGGACCAAUGCUAAAUAAAUAAAUAGCACGACAAAAAAGUAGGAUUUUUUUUUUACUCAGAAAAUUUGAAAAUUUUAUUGAAUUCUAAAAUAUUCAAUUAACUUGCCUAGUUUUUUGUUUAUUCACUCUCUUUUUUUCCUUUUAAUCCUUGAUGUUUGAAAACUUCAAAAUUAUUUUUGAUCACAAACAUAUUUUAACUCUCAUAAAACAACAAAACAAUGUUUUCUAAAAUGGGACAGUUAUCAGUUAUUGAUAAAUCACUUUCUGAGUGAUAUUUUGUACAAACUUUUGUAUUAUUUUAUAUGCAUUUUUUUGAUACAAUUCACAUUUGAACAUUAGUUUUGUAUUCGAGAAGUAUAACUACUCAAUUGAGUGAAAGAGUAGAAAAUUGUACAAAUUUAUGAAGAUUUAAGAACUUUACAUAACUUGAUUACUAUUGUGGUACAUUGAUUACGAUCGUGAUAAUCAACAUGAUCACAAUAAAGUGAUAACAGUCAUCCCUAAUGUUUUUAUAAUAAAAAUGUGAUAUUGAUUUAAAUGUUUAUUUAAUCUCACAAAAAUCAUUUAAAGAAAUAGUUAGACCUAAAAUCAAAAUAUAAAUAUAAUAACACCAAAAAUAAAAAUUUAAACACAUGAAUUUUUAAUAAUUAUAAAUAUAGAUUUACCUUAUGUCUUGUCGAUCUAAAAGAGUUAAAUUCACUGUAACUUUUAUUGGUACAACUAACACUACUUACAAUUACAAUAAACAUUGUUUUAUCACAUUUACACAUUAGGAAGAUCAGAAAUUCAGUUGAUGUUGUAGUAGGACAAAAAUAAGGAGACAAAAUCACUAACGUGUUCACAAAAAUAUUUAGAAUUAGCUAAGGCUUUAGUUUUUAAAUUUUUUUAAAUUUGAUUUUAAUCACUAAAUUCUUUUUUGACUAGUCAAAGUUUUUUAACUUUUAGAAAUUUUAAUUUUUAGUUCUUGAAUAAAAAAUUAAAUCUAUUAUUUUUAUUAAUUUAAUGAGUUUUUAAUAAUUAUAAAUCGAUUUUUUAAAAGUUUAGAAAUUAAAAAUCUUAAUGAAAAAAAGUCGAGAGACAUUGACCCGUCAAAUAAAAAUGUAAGAACUAAAAAUCUUGAUAAAAAAAUUGAAAGAUCUUGAUGAAUAGAAAAAAAAUUUAAAAAUUAAAAACUAAAUUUUGAAAAAGUUUAGUAAUAAUUAGCCCAAAUAUUUAAGAGAGAUGCUGGAAUCUCAAAGUCUUCCUAUCAAGUCUCAAGGUAGACGUUGCACUAACGUUUUUGUAAACACUAGCGUGGAUAAAAAAAUAUGAUGUCAAUUUGAUGUAGAUAAAAGUAUGUCGUAAUAAAAAAAUCGUAUUAAGUGUAUAUAUCAUUUUUUAAAUUAUUAUUAUAAAAGUUGAUAAUUAAAUUUAUUAUAUAUAUAUACCAUUUAUGAUUAGAUGAGAGAGUAAAGUCUUAUAUUUUCGCAUUAACUAUAUCUUGCUUCUACAAAACAUUUAUUCUUAGCCAAUUUAUCACCAGAAGACUCUUUGUAAGCAUCUUUUAGUAGUAUUAAACUCUCUAGGAAAAUCUUCAUCCAGUAUUUUAAUGACAACUAGGUGAUCCUUGAUCCUGCGAAAAAAUAGGAAAGCAAAUUUUGUUCUUCUAAAUUAAAGACCAACGAAAUAGAUCAAAAAUUUCCAUUUUUGAAAGAAAAAAGAGAGUAAAUUUUAAAGCUUAGAGUAAAACCAUAUGGAAUGAUAAGAAGGAUACACCAGCCUGUAUAUAGCUUUUGAAAGUAAAUAGAAUAGCUUAAUUACCCUCUUUCACCAAUGGUUAACCUAGUUAAAAAAAAAAAACUGUUCCUGUGGAUCAGCAUUUAAUUUCUUACUCAUCAUAUAAUAUAUUAUUAUUGCCAGCAUCGAUUAGAUCAAAUCAGAUGGCUGACCUAUUCAACGACAAUUCAUCAUCUCGGACCAGUUUAAAGAUCAAUCCUCAAAAUGAUGAAUUGUGUAAAUUAUUGGCGCAAACUAAAACACUAGAGCCAAAUGAAUAAUUAAAAUAAUAUAUAUAUAUAUAUAUAUAUAUAUAUAUAUAUAUAUAUAUAUAUAUAUAUAUAUAUAUAUAUAUAUACCUGCAAGGUAAAUACUUUGACAAGUGUAAGAUAUUUUAUUUAAAUUUUAUCCGUACAAUAACACUGACAAAUACAUCUGACAUUGUUUAAUUAAUCACAUUUAUAUACAAUUAACUAGAUAGCAAAUUCACAACUUGCUAUAGCACGACAAAAAUAAAGGGAAAAAUAUCACAACUUGUUCAUAGUAUAUUUAAGAUAGAUGAUGCUGAAAAGUUCAAAGUCUUCCUCUCGACAGAUGUGAUAAAAUUUUUAUAUAACACUUAUGGGUACAAAAUAUAUAACACUAAUAUGCUAUAGAUAAAGGAGAUGUAUUCGAGAAAACCUGAUCGCCAUAAAAGUUAAUCAUAUCUGUAUAAUUAUGCAUAGAUUAUUAUUUUACUUAAAAUUAAUUUUAUAUUUAUUGUAUUUGUACAAUUAAGAUUAAUUAAUCGUGCGUGAGACUAACAAGAGUUGACACAUUUGAUGGAGACUUUUGUCCACACUUGCUAUAACUUGACAGUCUUCCUUGACUUUACAAGAGGUGGCAUGGCUUCCCCUAUUGUAAUUUUUCACCUCAAAAAUAGGAUGAAUAGUACGUGAGAACAUCAUCUUACCUGGAUAUAAAAAGGGCAAUAUGAAAAUAUACAAGAUAUUAUAAUAAAGUUUGUGUCAAUGUGUGUCAUCGCGUGUGGCUAACAUGAAAUCAAUACAUUGAUCGAAUGGAGAAAGAAAGAUCAUAAUCAUAAUAAGAAAAAUAUUAGAGCAUGUUCUUUUAAGACUUUAACAUGGUCUUUUUUACACACUGUUUUCUAUUAGUUGAAAUUGAUUAUUCCUUUCCUGUUCCUAUUUAUAAGACUUUUAAAAUAAUGCUUAUUCUUUUUUUAUAAAAUUUAAUUUAUAAUAUUUCUUACACUCAAUUAUUUUUAAAAUAAAUAUGCAUCAUUAAAAAAAUAACAAAUAUAUCAAUAAACCAUUAGACGAGAGAAAAUUUUAAUGACAAAAAUAAUUUUAAAAAAUAUUAUAAAUGUAAGACAAACUUAUUAUUAUGAAUUAAAUUAGUCACUUUCUUUAAUCAUAAUGAAUUAGGUAAUUGCAUGGAGGGACUAAAAAUCAUAAAAUUGAAUGGAUUUCAUCAGUUCUUAUUUAAAGGACCUUACUCAUGAUUUUUCAUUUUUAACAAAUUUCAAUCAAUAAGAAAGUGUGCUAGAAAGUGUAAUGCCAACACUCAAAACUUUGUGUUGUAAUACUAAUUUAAUGUGGUUAACUAAUUUUCUUAAUUAGAACAAAUGAGUAUUUUCUUUGGUAAAUGCCAACUAGUAUCCUUAACACAUUAGGUAAAGAACUUAAAGUAGAAAUAUUUUAAUGGAAGAUAGAAAAUUACGUUGCUCAUGAUUUUUUUGAAUUCUCUUAAUCUUUACAGUGAAUAUUUUCUUCUUUUAGUUUCUUAACUAGUGUUCUUUUCUUCUUUUAGUUUCUUAACUAGUGCUCUCAGGGCACAAGUUUAGCAAGACCAUUUUUCUUAUAUUUGAGAUCCAACAGAGUAUGAACUUUACAGGUUUUUGUGCAAUUGGUCCGAAUUUAGGUUAAAUUAAGAUUAAAUCCUAAUGAGUCAUGUUGAAUAUAUUAUAUAUUGGUUAUAUUUGAUUUUUUUUAAAAUAAAUCAUUCUAUUGUCAUUUAAAAUUUUUAUCUCCAUUGAGUGUUGAUUUUUUAUUAUCUAAAACUGUAAGCAAAUGAAUAUAUUAGAGAAUCAAACAAACUGUAAUUGGAUAUUCAUAUUUGAAGUAAAAAAAAAAAAAAGAGAGAGAGAACUAAUCAAUCAAACCAAUUUGAAUCAAAAUAAUUGAUUUGAUUUAGAUUGUGAGUUUAUCAAGUCAAUUUGAUCAAUGCUCCUAAAAUAAAGAAAACAAGUGAAAAAAAGAGGGAAAAGAAGUUUAAAAUGACCCAAUUUGUUAGAUUUUCUUUUCCGUUUGUUACUAUAUUAUAGGUGUAAAAGUAAUCUAUCAACUUUGUCAAUCAAUAUUUCCGUUAGAGAAUGUGACUCGUACACCAUUAGUGAUUGUUUGUUCCUCCGUUUUCUCGGAAAAUAAACAAAGCUUGAAAGAUUGGCCGCUUGAAUUGAUAUUGCACUGUAUCUGUUUAACAAGUGGUACUUUAAACAUUAAACUGUUUUUUUAUGAUAUAUUCACAAACAUAUUUGUCUUUUUUAUUCGUUUAAACUUUGUAGUUGCAGAGUUCAGAUGUAUAUUGUUAAGCAAAUAAGCUGGUAACGGAAGCAUGAGCCUAAAGCUACAGAGCCAAUAGAACAAGCAAACAUUAAUUUAUUCCUAACAGGCAAUUAAGUUGACAAGCAGGGCCGUUUAAUUUUGUUGGUAAAACUAAUACCGACAAACAUCAUUAUUUGAAUCGAAUAAUUAGUUUUCAUACUUAUUUAAAAACUGGGUAGCGUGAUAUGGUAUGGAUACGGUAACAAUUAAACAAUUAACAUUAGCAAUGGCAAAUUCAGUGCUGGCAUGCACGUUGUGUCUGAAACUAGGGCGGGUCAUAUCUAGCAUGUGUUUUUAGAAGGAUUCCACGGAUUUGUUUCAAGGUCCCGCAAUUGAGAAAACUGCUAUCUUCCAAGCAAACUCGUUUGAUUCGAUCUAGACUAAGUUAACACAAGUUUAGUCUGCGUGUCUACUGAGUCUUGUCUCAAUAUGCUAAAAAUGAAUUUAAAUACUAUUAAUUUAACCCGCAUGAAUCAAAUAGACUAUUAAACUCAUAUGAAUAGUACGUGAAAAUAGACUUGUGAGUUAACAGAGUUUAGUUUGAGUGUCUAGUGAGUCUUGUCUCAAUAUGCUAAAAAUGAGUUUGAAUACUAUUUAACCCGCAUAAAUCAAAUAAACUAUUAAACUCACAUGAAUAGUAACUGAAAAUAUCAUCUUACAUACCACUGGUUAUAAAAAAGGUAAUAUGAAUAAUAUGUGAGAACAUCAUUUUACAUACUUAUUGGAUAUAAAAAAUAGCAAUAUGAAAAUAUACAAGAUAUUAUAAUAAAGUUUGUGACUAUGUGUGUCAUCGUGUGUGACUAACAUGCAAUCCAUCCAUUGAUCGAAUGAAGAAAAAAAAAUCAUAAUCAUAAUAAGAGAAAUAUUGACAGCGUGCUCUUUUAAGACUUUUAAAAUGAUUUUUUUUUAUAAAGCUCAAUUUACAAUGUUUUUUAGAUUAAUUAUUUUUAAACUAAAAAUAUUCAUCAUUAAAAGAAUUAAGAAAAAGAAUGUAUUUACAAAUCAGCCUUAUUCAUGAUUUUUUUUUAGUUUUAACAAAUUUCAACCAAUAAGAAAGUAUGCUAGAAAUGGCCAACAGUCAAAACUUUGUGUGGUAAUACUAAUUUUAAGGGCUAACCAUAAUUAGGUUUUCUUUAUGAGAGAAAAGUAAUACUUCCUUUAUAAGCUAAAAUUUAUUUUUUUAGUUUCAAAUAUAAGAAAUUUUCAAGUAAAUUUACUUUAUUUAAUGUUAUUAUCUCUAAAAUAUCCUUCAUUUAAUUGAGGUUUUUUUCAAUGAUUUUUUAUGUUUAAUAUGAAGUUUCAAUGAAGGAUAUGUUGAGAAAAAAAUAAUUUUUAAUUAAGAUUGAUGAAUUAAAUGUUAUUAAUUAACUUUCUUGGUUAGUACAAAAAAAUAUUUUGAGACCGAAGGGAGGGAGUAUGAAUUUUACAAGUUUUUGUGCAAUUGGUCAAAAUUUAGAGGAAAUUAAAAUUAAAUCCUAACCAGUCAUAUCCAAUUAUAUAUUGGUUAUAUUUGAAAUUUAAAAAAAAUAAAUCAAUCUAUUUUCUUUUAAGUUUUUAUCUUCACUAAGUGUUGAUUUUUAUGAUUUUAAACUUUAUGUUAAUGCAAGGCAAAAAAAGACAAAUUAGAGAAUCAAACAAAUUGUAAUUUUUUAAAGCAAAAGAAUAUAGUAGAGAAUCAAACAAACUGUAAUUGGAUAUUCAAAUUUGAAGUAAAAAAAACUAAUUAAUCGAACUAAUUUGAAUCAAAAUAAUUGGUUUUAUUUAGAAUGUUGAGUUUAUGAUCAAGUCAAUUUGAUCAAUGCUCCUAAAAUGAAGAAAAUAAAUGAAAAAUAAGAGUAAAAAAGAAGUAUAAAAUGACCUAAUUUCUUAGGUUGUUUAUGUUAUUAUAUUAUAGAUGCAAAGUAAUCUAUCAGUUUUACCAACAAAUAAUUUCUAUUAGAGAAUCUGAUUUGUUCAUCUUUAGUGAUUUUUUAUGAGAGAAAAAAUUAAAAAAAGAAUCUUUAUUUUAUAUUUAAUUAUGUAGAAAAUUUUAAAAAAAGUUAUAUAUACUCAAAAUAAGAAGUAUAUAUACUAAAAAGGAUAGUUUUAUAUCGUCCUUCUUGCAUGUUCCCUCCGUUUUCUAGGAAAAUAAACAAAGCUUGAAAGUUAGCCCGCUUGAAUUGAUAUUGCACUGUAGCUGAUUAACAAGUUGUACUUUAAACAUUAAAAUAAGAAGUAUAUUCACAGAUAUUGUCUUUUCUGUUCGUUUAAACUUUAAACAUUAAAAUGAGAAGUAUAUCAUAAAAUUGAAAAGAAGAUUCAUAAAUCUGAAUCUUAAAGUUUUAAAUUAAAAUGUGUUGUAAAGUUUUUUUAUUUGAUUUUUUAUGGUUCAUUCCUGUAAAUCUUCAAUUAUGUGAUAGCGUGAUAUGGUAUGGAUACAAUGACAAACAAUUGACAUUAACGAUGGCAAAUUCAGUGCUGACAUCCAACUGUUAUAUCUAGCAUGUGUUUAUAGGACAAGUGGAUGAUACUUUAACUUCCACAUGCCAACUAUUAUGACUUCGUAUUAAUUGGAAUAAAUAACUACUUUAUAAAUUAGCAAUACAUCCAACUUGCUGAAUAAAAUAAUAUUAAAUAUUAAUCAAUUGUCCCCCUCUUACUACGGACAUGGCUAUAUACGUUCAAGAACAUCAAGUUUUGCAAUCACAACAAACCAAAAAGCAGAGCUAACUAGCUAGACUAAAAUGGCAGAAACUGCAGUGUCCUUGGCUGGUAAGCAUGCCCUUCCAAAAAUAUUGGAAGCUAUCAAAAUGGUGAGAGAUCUCCCAAAAGAAGUUAGAGACAUUACAGAUGAACUUGAAAGGUUUCAAGAUUUCAUUAAUGAUGCUGACAAAGUGGCUGAAGCUGAACAAGAUGAUGGAAGGCGUCAUAGAAUAAAAGAAAGGGUGAUGCGGCUGAGAGAAGCAGCUUUCCGCAUGGAAGAUGUCAUCGAUGAAUAUAACAUCUCCUGUGAGGAUAAGCAACCUGAUGAUCCUCGAUGUGCAGCUUUACUAUGUGAGGCUGUUGACUUCAUCAAAACUCAAAUCCUUCGCCUUCAAAGUGCGUACAAGAUUCAGGAUGUUAAAUCGCUUGUUCGUGCUGAAAGAGAUGGUUUCCAAAGCCAUUUUCCUUUAGAACCAAGACUAACAAGUUCUAGAGGAAAUCAAGAUGUCACCUGGAAGAAACUUCGAAUGGAUCCUCUCUUUAUCGAGGAAAAUGAUGUUGUGGGGCUUGAUGGCCCUAGAGAUACAUUGAAAAAUUGGUUGACAAAGGGAAGAGAAAAACGCACUGUCAUCUCUGUGGUGGGAAUUCCUGGGGUGUGAAAAACCACUGUUGCCAAGCAAGUUUAUGACCAGGUGCGUAACAAUUUCGACUACUAUGCAUUGAUCACAGUGUCUCAAUCCUACUCUGCAGAAGGACUACUGAGGCGUUUGUUGGAUGAGCUUUGCAAAGUUAAAAAGGAGGACCCUCCCAAGGGUGUUUCUAACAUGGAGUCGUUGACCGAAGAAGUCAGAAACCGCUUGCGCAACAAGAGGUAUGUUGUCUUGUUUGAUGACGUAUGGAAUGAAACAUUUUGGGAUCACAUUGAAUCUGCUGUAAUUGAUAAUAAAAAUGGAAGUAGGAUUUUAAUCACAACCAGGGAUGUGAAGGUUGCUGGAUAUUGUAAGAAAUCAUCAUUUGUUGAGGUGCUUAAGCUAGAAGAACCUUUAACUGAAGAAGAAUCAUUGAAAUUGUUUUCUAAGAAGGCAUUUCAGUAUAGUUCCGAUGGAGAUUGUCCAGAAGAACUUAAAGAUAUGUCUCUUGAAAUUGUUAGAAAGUGUAAAGGUUUACCUCUAGCAAUUGUUGCCAUUGGUUGUCUUUUGUCUCAAAAAGAUGAAAGUGCACCCGAAUGGAAACAGUUUAGUGAAAAUCUUUGUUUAGACCAGUUGGAGAGGAAUUCUGAGUUAAAUAGUAUAACAAAAAUUUUAGGUCUAAGUUAUGAUGAUUUGCCGAUCAAUCUCAGAUCAUGUUUGUUGUAUUUCGGAAUGUAUCCGGAGGACUAUGAAAUUAAAUCUGAUAGAUUGAUUAGACAGUGGAUAGCUGAAGGGUUUGUCAAACAUGAAACCGGAAAAACAUUAGAAGAAGUUGGGCAACAAUAUUUAUCAGGGUUGGUCCGUAGAAGCUUGGUGCAAGUAUCCUCAUUUAAAAUUCAUGGCAAAGUUAAUAGGUGUCGUGUUCAUGACUUAAUACACGACAUGAUCCUUAGAAAAGUUAAGGAUACAGGGUUUUGUCAGUAUAUUGACGGGCGUGAUCAAUCUGUAUCAAGUAAGAUUGUUCGACGCCUGACAAUUGCAACCCAUGAUUUUAGUGGAAGUACAGGAAGCUCACCCAUUCGGUCAUUUUUUAUUAGCACAGGAGAAGAUGAAGUAUCUCAACACUUAGUAAACAAAAUCCCUACCAAUUACUUGCUAUUGAAGGUACUAGAUUUUGAAGGUUUUGGUUUACGUUAUGUUCCUGAAAAUUUGGGGAAUUUAUGCCACUUGAAGUAUUUAAGCUUCCGGUUUACAGGGAUAAAAAGUCUACCAAAAUCCAUUGGCAAGCUCCAGAAUUUAGAGACCUUGGAUAUAAGAGACACAAGUGUGUAUAAGAUGCCAGAGGAGAUUCGUAAGCUUACUAAGCUACGUCAUCUUCUGUCUUAUUAUAUGGGUUUAAUUCAAUUGAAGGAUAUUGGAGGCAUGACAUCCCUACAAGAGAUACCUCCAGUGAUUAUAGAAGAUGAUGGAGUGGUGGUCAUUAGAGAGGUAGGAAAGCUAAAGCAGUUAAGGGAACUGUGGGUGGUACAAUUAAGUGGAAAACACGAAAAGACUUUGUGUUCCGUAAUAAAUGAGAUGCCACACUUGGAGAAACUACGUAUUCGUACAGCUGAUGAGAGUGAAGUAAUUGACUUGUACAUUACGUCACCUAUGUCUACACUUAGGAAGCUUGACCUAAGUGGGACGUUAACAAGGUUUCCAAAUUGGAUUUCACAGUUCCCAAAUCUUGUGCAUCUGCAUUUGUGGGGCUCCAGGUUGACUAAUGAUGCAUUGAAUUCACUAAAAAAUAUGCCAAGGUUGUUGUUCCUCGAUUUAAGUUACAAUGCUUAUGAAGGUGAAACUUUGCAUUUUCAAUGUGGAGGGUUUCAGAAGAAGAAGAAGAAGACACAGAGGUAAGAAAAGGGAAAUAUCAUUUUCUCAUUCAUCCCCUUGCUUGUUAUUUACAUGGAUAUAUAUAGCAUUCCUCUUAACAAAUCUGUGCUAUUCUGCUCAAGGAAUAUUACAUCAUAACAGAAUUUGUUAUGCACGAAUCAAGCAAGAUUUUCCUAAUUACUGUAUUGCCCAUACUGCCCUCUGCUUCAAACAAAAUCACGAAGGUAUGAUGGCCCUGCUAUCCUUCUCGUGGACCUUUCUUUUUACACCUCUGGUUUGCUGAUUGUUACCAUUGCCUUCUCUGUUCCAGCUUCCUUGUUGCCUAUUUCUGGUAUCCUAUCAUUUCCCGCCCUCAUCAAAAACACCUUGUCCUCAAGGUGUUGGGCGUUCAAACUACAGCUUCCAAAAGCAAUACCGGGGUCCCAAGGUUCAUUCCGACGAACCUGCAAUUCCACUAAGUAUCCGUGAGGAAGGAACAUCACGCGAAAAAGAGUUGGAGCAGUCCAACAAGGUAAGCUCAGAGAGAUCAAUAGUGGAGGCUGGAAGAAGGUGUGGGGACUUCUCCCAACAACAAGGAGGACCUCUCGAAUGCCGGAGAGAAGGCCGGCAAGGCGCAAAAUUCCCGGUGUGAAAUCUCCCGAUAAGGAUUUCAGACCAAUUUGGGCCGGGUCCGGUUUGGGUGUGGGGUGUGCGGCCGGGUCGUGUGUGGGUUUUGGCCUUGGGUCAGGGGUGGGUUUUGGAUCUGGGUCAGGUAUGGGUUUUGGGUCAAGUCCUGUGGAUCCGGGUGUGGGUAGUUGCGGGUCAGGGUGCUUUAUAUUAGGACCCAAUGGGUCUGUGGGUUCCUCAUUCACUACGAUGAAGGGAAGAACCCUAGAGACCUCGCGACGGCCGCCAUGGAGCUUCUCCUCGCCUGUGAGGCACAGCCCGUGCUCAUGGCGCGAGGCUAACUCCUCCGGGGUGAGGCAGCUAAUGGUCGGGGCCUGUGGGGGUCGCGGCGGGGAUGGCAGCAAAGGGGGCAAGGUUGCGAUGUGAGGAGGAACCAAAGGGGCGGACGGUGGAGCUACCAGAGGUGGGGUUCGCGGCCGCGAAGACGUUUGCUGCUCCAGGAGCUUCGCGAGGCCGGCGGCCUGGUCCACAGUCGUAGGCUGAUGGGCCUGAACUGUACGGCGGAUCUCCGGUUGCAAACCUGAGAUGAAGCAAGGCAACAGGAAGGUGCCUGGCAAGCCGAUAAUUCUACUGGCUAAGGCUUCAAACUCCAGUAGGUAUGUGAGCACUGACCCCGUCUGAGUGAGUUUGAACAGGGCACCGACAGGGUCCUCAAAUGGAGAUGGUGCAAACCAGGGUGUUGCAGGAGCAAAAGUGGCUUGAUGAGGAACCGGUGGGGAUUUGGAUGUGGGGGGGAAAGGCACAGGAGCAUGGCGGGUGAAAAAUGGGUUCAGGUGGCGGUUCAUGGAGUGCAUGGCGUCGUCCAGACGAGCAAGGGCCUCGUCGAGGUUGCGGGAGGCCAUGAGGAACAAUGAUGAAAGCACCAAUUGUUAGGGUAUGAACCCUAAAGCUGGCUUCGAGGGCAGCAAACCUCCAGCAAGAAGAAGAAGACACAGAGGUAAGAAAAGGGAAAUAUCAUUUUCUCAUUCAUGCCCCUUGCUUGUUAUUUACAUGGAUAUAUAUAGCAUUCCUCUUAACAAAUCUGUGCUAUUCUGCUCAAGGAAUAUUACAUCAUAACAGAAUUUGUUAUGCACGAAUCAAGCAAGAUUUUCCUAAUUACUGUAUUGCCCAUACUGCCCUCUGCUUCAAACAAAAUCACGAAGGUAUGAUGGCCCUGCUAUCCUUCUCUUGGACCUUUCUUUUUACACCUCUGGUUUGCUGAUUGUUACCAUUGCCUUCUCUGUUCCAGCUUCCUUGUUGCCUAUUUCUGGUAUCCUAUCACAUACUCUGUAUUGUUCUGACUGUUGUCUUUAUUUUUUUCCCCUGUUCUUGUCCUUUUUUGUCUUAAGUCAUUUUAUCUACCGGGAUCAGUUGAUGCAAACGACAGGCAGAUAGAUCAGUGGAAUGUAAAGCCACCCCAGCUCUACCUUUGGACUGAUAAGCAUAAGGCCAUAGCUCGGAAACAUGGUCACUUUAUCAGCCAGCGGGGGCUGUUAAGAAUUGAAAGCUUUGAUAAAGAAAAAUCACCGGCCAGUCAUACUUUGGAUGAUAGUUAUGGUGAGAAAGGCUGAUAAGACCUCAUGGAAGAGGAAACGAACUGAGGAAAACGAUGGAAGAAGACUAGGUGUGACCUCACCACCCAAUCCAAUUGAUGGGAGACCCUAUGUCAGGGAGGAUGAGAACUACCUUAGGGAAUUAGAGACAAGGCAACAGACUCGCCAUUAUGGUAUUCAGAAUCCUAAUUCUGUAAUGAGUAAUUAUCUAUCUGUGCAUGAUCCUGCUAAUAGCCACCACAUGGGGCCAAGUUAUCCAGCCCUUGCUUUAGCAUCUGAGCCUUAUGUGAUGAAUACACCAGCCAUGCAGCGAUAUGCACCUCGCCUAGACGAAUUAAACCAUGCAAGGAUGGAUCCUUUGGGGUCUGAACCUGCUAUAGUUGGUAGAAACGGUGCUUUUGAACGUAGUGCCCUCCCACCUGGAUAUGGGAGUAGGAUGCCAGGUUUUGCAGCUGGUUCUCACCAUAUGUAUUCACGCCAGAAUUCAUCAGACCGAUUCAAUGGGUAGUUUGAAUGUCCAUCUUUUUGUUCUCCUCUUCUACUUUUGCAUAAAAUUGCUGUAUGCCUUAAUCUGCAGAAAUCAUUGGGUUUUUUUUUUUUUUUUUUGGUGUAUGCUGUAUGCUAAAUCUUCGGUCUCUAUUUCCUUCCUAAAGAACAUUUAGGUUUUUUCAUUUUUUGGUGAUCUGUAUAUGCAAGACCUUGGAGUGGGUAGAUACGUUGUACCACCUACAAGUAUAUGAUAAAUCAGAGUUCACUAUUUGAAGAAUGAGGCUUUCCCUCCUCAUUAUUCAAUUAGACACCUUUACAUUCCCUUUAAAUGUAGACUAAGACAUUCAUUCUCUUCGCCGGUCAUGGGAUAUUUUUAACAUAUCUGUUCUCUCUUUUAGAAGUGCAAUUUGCACUACUACCACAUUUAUUCUACAAGUGUUUGACAUUUUCAAACUACCUUGUUUUAUUUAUUUUCCCAACAACAUAUUUCUUAAAUUUUAUUAUUUCAUCUUUAAAUUAAAUUUUAGUGUUUUUUUAAGAAUGUCAAUAGUUAAAACAAUUUUACAUCACAAUUUAACUAAAGAAGUAAUUUAUUUUAAUUUUCAUUUAUUCAACCACCAACUCCUAACAUUUUGCACAUAUACAAGGGUUCUUCAAGUUUUUUUUUUUCAUUUUAAUUUUCAUGUAUUACAUUUUCCCACUGUUAUUUUACACUAGUCAGUAACUAGCACAGUAAAAGAAUGCCUAAAAUUUUAAGGCCACAUAAUUUUAUUCUUAAGCCAAUAAGUAUUUAUUAAGAAAAAUCAAAUUUGAUUAUAAAUAUAACUGAUCUGUAGCAUUAAUUGCUUCAUCAAUUUUAUUUGUUAUUGAAUACCCAGUCAUACUUUCUUUUGAGUCGCGACCAUAAGCUUGACGGUUGCUUAGUAGUUGUCAAUUUCAUGGAGUUAAAGCCACUAAGCCAGCAGUUGCAGAUUACGAGCAACCUUUUUAAAUAAGAAACGGGAGUUAAUAUUAAUAACCAAUAUUUUCAUCUAUUUUUAUAUUAUUAUUUAUUACAUCAAUUGCUUUUUCUUCUUAUUUGUUCUUUUUAAUUAUCACCUCUUCCUUACUCUUCUACGUACCUUCCCCAUUUUCCAAAAAGAGAAAACGAUAGCUUGAUAUAUUCUUCCGACCGAGCAAAUGAGGUAGCCGGAAAAAUAUCGAAGUUGUUACGUUUGAAAGUUACGUGGGUAACUUCUACGUGAGAGAAAGAAAGAAAGAAAGGUGAUUGGUGUAAUAAUCAUUGUAAUGGGUAAAAAAAGAGAAAAAUUUGAGGGGGAAAAUGCAAGAAAAUUAAAAUAUUAAAUACUGCAACUAAUAUAUUUUUAGAGCUACACUACUAAAUAAAUAAUAAAUAAAAAUUGCCAUGUGACAUAGGAUUCAUGAAAAAAACAAAUAAAUAAUAGUUUAAGCAGCAUGCCCCACUUGCAUCCAAAAGUCUCUUUUAUCACCUAUGAUCGAAAAGAAAAGAGUGAAUUAUAAAAGACUAACGAAGGGGGAAGAGUUUAAAUUAAGUGGACUUAACAUGGAUGAACCAAUACCUAACCAGGAGUAAUAGAUUUCAAGAGCUUAGCAAGAGACUAAAUUCUCUUAUGGAGGAAAGAGAAGGAGAAGUGAAAUAUAUUUAUUUUAGUCAACUUUUAGAAUAAGAUUUAUUUUCAUUUUUUAUUACAUUCAUGGGUCUAUUUUUGGACUUGUAAUGAGCUGCUAGCUUUUUUAUUGUUAUUUCUAAGUCUUUUAAUUAUUAGAUUAAUUAUUGGGCCUUGGGCAUAAUUUAGGAUUAUUUGUAGGAGUUAUAAAAAGACUCUCACCUUGUUGGCAAUUUUGAUGAAAACUUCAUAUUAGACACAAUUAAAAGAGUGUCUAUCUUGGUUCUUAUGUGAAAUAUUAAGUUCUUAUAAAAAAAUUAUUAUUUAUGACGAAUCAUCUUCAGCUUAUCAAUCACUCAAGAUUGUGGUGUUGUUCUUUCCAUCUCUUUCUUUAAGUCUGCUUUAUCCUUUUAUUUUCCCCAAUUUCGUAGAGCUCCAAAUUGGUUAUCCAGUUUGUUGAUGCUAAAAAUUGGAUUCGUCAAUCAGGGUUCCAUCAAAAUUACAAUUCCCUUUUUUGUAUUUCACCUUUGAGAGAUCCUUAGAUCCACCAACAUUAGUCAUCAUUUUCCUUGACAUUUCUUACACCUACAACCACCUAGAUUCAAGGAAGAAAAAGAGAAAGAGAAAAGGGGAAGAAAAUAAAAUCAAUCAUGGAUGGUGAAGUUGAGAGGUUCAUCAAGGUAUGGCUCACAACCAUCUCAUGUCUAUGCUAUUGUUAUUACAUAGCUUCUAGAAUACCAAAAGGCUUCAUGAGGCUUCUCUUCCUCCUCCCUAUUCUCAACCUCUUCCCCACCCUUCCCUUCAACCUCUCUUCCUUCCACCUAGGUGGCCCCACCACCUUCUUCCUUGUUUGGCUUGGCACUUUCAAACUCAUUCUUUUCUCCUUCAACCAAGGCCCUCUUGCACUAUCACCCCCAAACAUUCUCCAUUUCAUUUCCAUAGCUUCCCUCCCCAUCAACCCCAAACAACACUCACCAACCAAAAACAACCACACAAACAACACCCAAAAGCCAAAAUGGCUUUUGCUCCUAAAAGUGCUUAUUUUUGCAAUGAUCAUACGUGCUUAUGACUAUAGAGAAAAGUUGCACGCUCAUUUCAUCUUAGUCCUCUAUUGCUGUCACAUGUACCUUGGCAUAAAAUUUGUGUUAGCCCUUAGUCCUAUCUUGAUUCGAACCCUUUUAGGGUUUGAGAUUGAACCACAAUUCAAUGAACCAUACCUUUCCACAUCCCUUCAAGACUUUUGGGGUCGUAGGUGGAAUCUCAUGGUUACCCGUAUUCUACACCCCACCAUAUACUACCCCAUAUACCCUAUUUUCAUAUGCUUUGUGGGUCCCUCUUGUGCCAUGACAAGUGCCAUGUUGGCCACAUUUCUUGUGUCAUGGCUCAUGCAUGAGUUAAUAUACUAUUACCUCACACGUGUGACUCCCACGUGGGAAGUCAUGUGCUUUUUUGUGCUUCACGGUGUGCGCACCACGGCGGAGAUGGCGACGAAGAAGGUGAUGCUCCGCCGUGGGUGGCGGUUGCAUCACCUUCUUCAUGUUUUUUUAAAUCUAAAUGCAUGGAAAAUAAUAUUUAGAUUAGCACAAAUAAUCAACAUAAUAGGAGGAUCGUGUUUUUUUUUCAUGUGUGAAAUUGUCUUGGAGUAACGACAAUUAUCCACACUGAGUAAGAUUAGUGUCAACCAAAUGGGUUGGAAAAAACACUUGACCUAAAACAAAAACAAAAAAAAAACCAUGGAAAACACGAGGAGCCAUGAAAUGGUGAUCUAUAACAAAUAUCUGAUGAAAAAAAAUCUAUAAACAACAAGAAAAUAAAAGAUAAAUUACAUAAAAAAGCCAAAUCAGAUCUAGAUAAAAAAAAACUCAAAUUAUAAAACAACUAAGAAGAAUCGAUAGUAAGUGUCAAAAUUUUAUAUAUUAUAGUAAAUGGUAUUCACGGUGAGAGAUGGUGAGUUGUAUGGGCUGUUUUGGUUUGGAAUAUAUGGAAACAGAGGAACUCUAACAGGAAGAGGUAGAUAAUGACUCACCUAGAGGAUUAUGUUUUUUAGUGUAUUCUGUUAGGUUCUUAGUGCUGAGGGGCAGCUCUGUUAGAAUCAUAGUGCUGGGGUAGUUUUUGUUAUGGCAUGAUAGCAUAAGUGCUUUCCGUUAUCGCUUUUGUAUUUUGGGACGUGGUGUUUGUCUGGUAGCUUGUUGCAAUCAUGUUAUAAAUAUCAUCGUCUCCAUGCAAGAAAGGAAUAAAAAAAGAAAUUUCUUCUCCCUUUCUCUCUUCUAAGGAGGCAUUCCUGGACCUCGAAUCCCAGGAGGUUCACUGUGUGAACCUAACAAACUCGAUCGUCUUUAGGGGAGCAACAUUUAUUUGACACUCAAGUUGUGUUAAAGGACACCAUCUUUUACUCCGGAUCAUGGUUAAAAGGUAUUUAAAGAGUUUUUCCCUACUCUUUUCAGCAAUGGCAGGGUCGACCCAAGGCUAAGGCCAUCCAAACUCUUGUUUUAGGCCACUAAAAAAUAAUUUUUUUACUAUUAAUAUAUGUAUAUUAAACAUAUGCACUAUCAAGGACCACGAACUGUUAUACGUGAAGUUCUGUCGUGACAUGCGUGUGGAAGGUAUCAAAUAUUUUAAAAUAAAAUAUGAAUAAUUUUAUUAAAUAUUUUAAUAAUUUAGAAAAAACUCCAUUUUUUUUUGUCAACAAAAAAAUCCCAUUUCGAAGUUUGGUUUAGGCUUACUAAUAUGUUGGGCCCGGCCCUGAGGAUAAGCAACCUGAUGAUCCUCGAUGUGCAGCUUUACUAUGUGAGGCUGUUGCCUUCAUCAAAACUCAAAUCCUUCUCCUUCAAAGUGCCUAUAAGAUUCAGGAUGUUAAAUCCCUUGUUCGUGCUGAAAGAUAUGGUUUCCAAAGCCAUUUUCCUUUAGAGCAAAGACCAACCAGUUCUAGAGGAAAUCAAGAUAUCACAUGGCAGAAACUUAGAAGGGAUCCUCUCUUUAUCGAGGAAGAUGAGGUUGUGGGGCUUGAUGGCCCUAGAGGUAUAUUGGAAAAUUGGUUGACAAAGGGAAGAAAAAAACGCACUGUCAUCUCUGUGGUGGGAAUUGCAGGGGUGGGAAAAACCACUCUUGCCAAGCAAGUUUAUGACCAGGUGCGUAACAAUUUCGAGUGCCAUGCGUUGAUCAAAGUUUCUCAAUCCUUCUCUGCUGAAGGAUUGCUGAGGCAUAUGUUGAAUGAGCUUUGCAAAGAAAAAGAGGAGGACCCUCCCAAGGAUGUUUCUACCAUCGAGUCGUUGACAGAAGAAGUCAGAAACCGCUUGCGCAACAAGAGGUAUGUUGUCUUGUUUGAUGACGUAUGGAAUGAAACAUUUUGGGAUCACAUUGAAUCUGCUGUAAUUGAUAAUAAAAAUGGAAGUAGGAUAUUAAUCACAACCAGGGAUGAGAAGGUUGCAGAAUAUUGUAGGAAAUCAUCAUUUGUUGAGGUGCAUAAGCUAGAAAAACCUUUAACUGAAGAAGAAUCAUUGAAAUUGUUCUGUAAGAAGGCAUUUCAGUAUAGUUCCGAUGGAGAUUGUCCAGUAAAGGUGAUUGGUGUAAUAAUCAUUGUAAUGGGUAAAAAAAGAGAAAAAUUUGAGGAGGAAAAUGCAAGAAAAUAAAAAUAUUAAAUACUGCAACUAAUAUAUUUUUAGAGCUACACUACUAAAUAAAUAAAAAUUGCGAUGCGAUAUAGGAUUCAUGAAAAAAAAAAUAAUAGUUUAAGCAACAUGCCCCACUUGCAUCCAAAAGUCUCUUUUAUCACCUAUUAUUGAAAAAAAAAGUGAAUUAAAAAUUUGAUAAAGGAUUAUCCAAGGGGGAAGAUUUUGACUUAAGUGAACUUAACACAGAUGAACCAAUUACUAACGAGGAUUAAUAGAUUUCAAGAGCUUAGCAAGAAACUAAAUUCUCUCGUGGAGGGAAGACAAAGAGAAGUGAAAUUUAUUUAUUUUAGUCAACUUUUAGAAUAAUAUUUAUUUUCAUUUUUUAUUACAUUCUUGGGUCUAUUUUUGGACAUGUAAUGGACUGCUAGCUUCUUUAUUGUUAUUUUUAAGUCUUUUAAUUAUUAGAUUAGUUAUUGGACCUUAGGCAUAAUUUAGGAUUAUUAGUAGGAGUUAUUAAAAGACUCCCACUUUGUUGGUAAUUUUGAUGAAAACUUCAUAUUAGACACAUUUAAAAGAAUGUCUAUCUUGGUUCUUAUGCGAAAUAUUAAGUUCUUAUAAAAAAAAUUAUUCUUUAUGACGAAUCAUCCUCAGCUUAUCAAUCUUUCAAGAUUGUGGUGUUGUUCUUUCCAUCUCUUUCUCUAAGUCCGCUUUAUCCUUUUAUUUUCCCCAAUUUCAUAGAGCCCCAAAUUGGUUAUCUAGUUUGUUGAUGCUAAAAAUUGUAUCCGUCAAUCAAGGUUCCAUCAAAAUUAUAAUUCCCUUUUUUGUAUUCCACCUUUCAGAGAUCCUUAGAUCUACCAACAUUAGUCAUCAUUUUCUGAUGAGAAUACUGAAACUGGCCAAAUACAGGCUAAAGGCCCAAGUGGAGAAGGACGAAGGCCCAAGUGGAGAAGGACAAAGCCUCCGAGCGGAGAAGGAUGAAGGCCUAGAGACAGAGACACUAUCAAGACUAUUAAUUGUUGCUUAAGGCCCAAACUAAUUUGAAGGCCCAAGUUAUAUAUGUUUUUUAGUUAUAAUUUUUAUUUAUUGUAAUUUUGGCCCAAACUGUUUAGAAGGCCCAUGUCUAUUUUAUCUUUUUGUUCAGAUACACUAUAAGUAUUGGUUUUUGUUUUCAAUAAAAAGAAACUUUUGGCAUUUUCAUAAAAUUUGGUGAGAGCUUCUCUCUGGGUUCCUUGUUGAACCAAUUUCAGACUUAUCAAGGUAAUCAUUGUCUACCCUGACUUAUCUUCCUUCACUGGAAGUGGCGUCAUCCAAAUCUCUGUAGCCUAUAUCAAACGAUCCGCUCCUAGUCAGGAUCACAUCAUCUUCCUUGACAUUUCUUACACCUACAACCACCUAGAUUCAAAGAAGAAAAAGAGAAAGAGAAAAAGGAAAGAAAAGAAGAUCAAUCAUGGAUGGUGAAGUUGAGAGGUUCAUCAAGGUAUGGCUCACAACCAUCUCAUGUCUAUGCUAUUGUUAUUACAUAGCUUCUAGAAUACCAAAAGGCUUCAUGAGGCUUCUCUCCCUCCUUGUGGCGUCCCCAAAAUAAUGACUGGAUUAAUAGUAAUAAUUUAAAUAACAAAAACCAUGGUAAAUUUUUUUUCCUUUUUCUUUUUCAUUUCUUUCUCUUUUCUCAAUAAUUAAUUUCAGAAGGGAAAAUCAUCACUAUAGAGUCCUGAAUGACCAGUUCACAACUCUAUUCGGAGUCAUUUCUUUCUGAUCACUCAUAACCUCUAAAUAUGUUGCUUUUUCAAAAGGAAAGGUAUGUCAGCCAUUACUUUAGGUCGUCACGUGAAAACAAUAAAAUAUAAUAUGGUCGGUAAACUCCUUUGCAAAUGAAGUUUGCUAAUGCUUUCUUUUCAAAUAACAAGAUUAAACAUAAAUACAUUCAUCAUUUAAAGCUAUCCAAAAUAUGGGAGUUUUUACAAAAUACAUAGUGUCAUCCAGAGCAAAAGUAUCCACUGUAGUAGCUUCAGUCACAUGUAUACAAUCAUCAAAUUCCUUUACAAUAGGUCUACCCAUACAAAAACAAAAGAGUAAACCUAAUAGUCAGCACUAGAUACACCCACCCUCAAAAGUAUACAAAACUAGUAUGAGGAGCUGUCUACUAUGAUGAAGAGCCUCCACUGAUCGCCAUCUCUCUAGGGCCACUAUCCUCCGUAGAGUCUGCCUCAGAUGCCGACAUGACGUCCUCGGGAGAAUCCACCUCAAGGAGUGGGUCCUCGUCGCCCUCUAGAAAGUCAAGAGCAUCCACAGCAGGCUCAGGAGGUAGCUCCUCUGGGUCUUCCUCAGAUGACGUCACCUCGAUCACUUGGACUGGCUCCACUAGACGAUAUGGUGUAGGCGUGGGUAAUAUCCACUCCACAGUGCGCUGAAGCAUACGCGCGGGUUCAUCUGGAUGCACCAAUGAGGUAGCCGUGAAUCGAAUCGUACCCCGAAAUCGGCACCUUGCGUUGCCUUCGAGGGUCUCCCAAGCUCCCUCUAGGCACUCCAUCUCCACACGAUCAUGGAUUAGUUGCGCCGCCAUCGCGAUCUACAAGAAAGAAAAGAGAGGGGUAGACUCUUUCACGCGACACCUAACUAUGUAGCAACACAAUGCGUCUCAUAACCACUACAUGCAAGAAAAAAGGGUAUCUCAAGGCUUUUCAUCUCUGGUAAUCGAUUACACAACCUUGGUAAUCGAUUACCAGAGGCCAAACUCGAAUUACACAGCUUCAGGACAUGAAACCUGCAAAAAUGCACUGUGUAAUCGAUUACACCUAACUGGUAAUCGAUUACCAGUGGCAUGUUCCUCUGUGUAAUCGAUUACACAGCCUGGUAAUCGAUUACCAGAGGCCUCCAAAACAUGCUGCCUUCAUUUCUAAGCCUGGUAAUCGAUUACACCCCUUGGUAAUCGAUUACCAGAAGCCCUCCUAGCUUCUUGACCUCGUUUUCAAGCCUGGUAAUUGAUUACACUCCCUUGGUAAUCGAUUACCAGAGACCAUCUUAGCCUCAUGUCUUCAUUUUUAAGCCUUGUAAUCGAUUACCCACCCUUGGUAAUCGAUUACCAGAGGCCAUAUCCCAUAUAUCAAUCAAAGUUCACAGCUGGCCAGCCACCACACAAGCCUCCUUGCUUUGUGGUCUUUGUUCCUUUUAUCUGUUGACUGCCAGGAGCUCGCCUGCUUAGGUACAUCACAGGUUCUCACUGACUGACUAUGUCCGGGUUGGGUCGGGAUUGGUCAAGCUUGGUUUUGGGCAAUAGCACCCCACCUGACGUCCCCAAGGUCUCCUGACCCCCGCGACAUAUCUCCAGGUACCACUUUGUGGUCAACAAUAAAAGCAGGAAGUCUCACCCUUCCACACUUCCUCAUUUCAAGCUUGUAGGAUUAUGGGGUAUCCAUCACAUGUGGUACUAGGUGGCGGUCGGGCGAUGGUGCAAAACAAGUUCUCCACAUCCACAAAUCACGUAUAAAUCCACCAUCCCCUGUUGCCCACCUCCAACUGAGCUCACGUACUCCCACGUAGCUCUUAUCCUCGUUCCUCUCAACGCCGGGUCCCCAUCAAUCCUCCCAAGCUUCCACAACAUCCAAGUAGUUCCACAUCCAAUUGUCAUGAACUCACAAAACCAAGCAAAACAGGGCAAAGGCAGAAAACUCUGCCCAAAACACAAACCAAAAUCACAGCUUUUCACAUACAAAUACCCCAGUAACAUUCUCUUCGUUCCAAUUCGUUCACCGUUGGAUCGACUCGAAAAUUUUACUGGAAGUCUCUAGCACAAAAGUCUACAUCUUGACCGUUGGGAUUUGUUAGCAAAUGUCCAAAACCCCAUGUGUACUACCCUUUCCACAGCCAGCCAUACACAAGCAUUUUUCUGCACAUAUACAAAAUUCUGCUGCACAUUUCACAGCAAAAUUCUGCAUAAAGUGCAGAAUUCGAAAAUCACUCUUACCUUCAUCCAAUUUUGCCCAAAUUGAAUCCUACAAGUCCUAAAUCAUGUAUCAAUCAUGUCUAAACCAAGGACAAGCUUCAGACCAAAGCAACACAAAAUCUAGGUAUCCAAAACCCCUCAAUUUAAUGGAUUUUCAAGGUUUGAGAAGUGAAAUUGAGAAUGAGGUAAAUUUGGAGCAAACUCUCACCUCACACAAGUCUAUAACAUCAAUUUAAACUUGCUCAAACUGGAUUUACACCUAAAAUUCCACCGAAUCAAAAUUUGACUUCUCAACACCCAAUUUUACCCUAGAAAUGGCUCUUGCCUUCACUUUGAUCAUUUGUUUUUCUCUCUUGCACAACCCAAGCUUUCUCAUAACUCCUAAAUGACAUUUCAAACUAGGAUUAAUUCCCUUUAACCUCCAAAUACCAUUAAAUCCAGAUUUGGCCUUCCAACUCUCAAAGCCUCACUUUUUUUCCACUCAUAACACCACAUUCUCACUUUCUAACCCUAGGUUAACCCUACCUUUCAUCUCUAACAGUUUUCCAUAAGCAAUUUCAGUACACCAACAUCAAAAGCAUCAUCAUAAAAACCCUAAAACUGAAUGGGUAAGCUUAACUCACUCAAACAUAAUAAGUUUAGCAUGCUUUCGUCAAAUCUCUUCACAAAUAACUAUCACAAAGCAUUAACCAAGAAAAACUGCCCAUCAUAUCUCCCAAAGCCCCAUACCCACGAAAAUCAAGUGAGAAAGAAGUCUACCCAAACCUGAAAUUUCGAAGUCCCACACGUAGAGAUGCGCUUCACGACUCCGAAAAUGCCUUCCUUUUGCGAUUUGGAGCAGAAAUGGUGACCAAAGGUUGGAGCUUUGUUGGGCAACAAUGGUGGAUGAGAGAAAAGAAGAAGAAGGCUGCGUGAGAGAGAGGGAGAGAGCUUCUGAAAUUUGGGGCUGAGUGAGAAGAGAGAGAGUGUGUUGCUUUUUAGUUUAAAAAGAAAAGCUUUUCUCUUUUCUAUUAUUUUAUUUUAAGUUAUGCCACAUGUCUCCAUUUAAGUGGAGCAAAAGGCCCACUUUUCUCUUGAUGUGACUCGCACUCAGUCACAAAAAGGGAAAAAUCUGACAUUUGCAACGCUAAAAUCCUGCCUCAGUUUGCGUGCCAUUUCUCUAGUUUCAGUUCCUCGCGUUUCUCUGCACCAGUCGGGGCCAGUUUUCGAAAGUAAGCAAUAUAUAUAUCAAAACGCUCAGAAUAAAACCCCGAGCGUGAUUCAGAGGUUGGUUUCGUUAAAUUUUUAGUUACACGCAAAACGAUGAUUUUUAGACUAAUUAAUUGAGAAUUAACCUAUAACAAUCCAGUUAUGGAUUUUUCUUCCUUAAUUAGCCUAACUCGCGUAUCUUUUCCCCCAAAAUACCUACUUCCACCAGGAAUAUAUAUAUACAUGUACACUGAAUAAUACUUAUAUAUAUAUAUAUAUAUAUAUAUAUAUAUAUAUAUAUAUAUAUAUAUAUAUAUAUAUAUAUAUAUAUAUAUAUAUAUAUAUAUAUAUAUAUAUCAUUCAAAAUGAACCGUUUACAAAAUUCUGGGUAGAAUUUCCAGGAUGUCACACUCCUCCCUAUUCUCUACCUCUUCCUCACCCUUCCCUUCAACCUCUCUUUCUUCCACCUAGGUGGCACCACCACCUUCUUCCUUGUUUGGCUUGACACUUUCAAACUCAUUCUUCUCUCCUUCUACCAAGGCCCUCUUGCCCUAUCACCCCCAAACAUUCUCCAUUUCAUUUCCAUAGCUUCCCUCCCCAUCAACCCCAAACAACACUCACCAACCAAAAACAACCACACAAACAACACCCAAAAGCCAAAAUGGCUUUUGCUCCUAAAAGUGCUUAUUUUUGCAAUGAUCAUACGUGCUUAUGACUAUAGAGAAAAGUUGCACCCUCAUUUCAUCUUAGUCCUCUAUUGCUGUCACAUGUACCUUGGCAUAGAACUUGUGUUAGCCCUUAGUGCUAUCCCGAUUCGAACCCUUUUAGGGUUUGAGAUUGAACAACAAUUCAAUGAACCCUACCUUUUCACAUCCCUUCAAGACUUUUGGGGUCCUAGGUGAAAUCUCAUGGUUACCCGUAUUCCACGCCCCACCAUAUACUACCCCAUAUACCAUAUUUUCAUAUGCUUUGUGGGUCCCUCUUGUGCCAUGACAAGUGCCAUCUUGGCCACGUUCCUUGUGUCAUGGCUCAUGCAUGAGUUAAUAUACUAUUACCUCACACGUGUGACUCCCACGUGAGAAGUCAUGUGCUUUUUUGUGCUUCACGAUGUGCACACUGCGGUGAAGAUGACGACAAAGAAGGUGAUGCUCCGUCAUGGGUGGCGGUUGCAUCGCGUUGCAUCAGGACCGCUCGUGGUGGCGUUCUUGGCGGUCAUCGGAAGGUGCCUCAUACUUCUUAAAUUAAUUUUUUUUUCAAAACUAUUUUCUUUUAUCAUGGAUUAUAGUUUAUUUGGUUGGUGUUGAUUAACAAAACUAUUGACAUUUACACAUAUAUAAGAAAUUAAAAUUAUAUUUUACAAGAGAAAAACAAUAUAAUCAGUAGCUUUAACAUUAUACCUCGAAAAAUAAAAUAAAUGUGUAAACAGAAUGGAGCAGUUGGUAGGAAAUUUUUUUUUCACACACUAAAAUGAUGAGUCCUUGAAUCAUGAUUCACAGAUAUAAGUAAUUUUUUUUAGUUGAUCAUAAAUAUUUUUAACAUUAUUUAUAUAAUAAGUUUUUAAAAAUUAAAGAGUUACGUGAUAUUGAGAAUUAUAUUAUAUUUUUAUAAUUUCUUAAUGAGAAUCAAAAUGUAAAGUGUUUUUAAAAUAAUAAUAUUUGAUUGAUUGAAUAAAUUAAAAUAUUAUUUUAUUCUAAUCAUAAAGAUUCAACCAUUAAUUUAAUAAAUAAAUCACCAUUGAUAAAUCAAUUGUUUGUGUUGAAUUAUUGAAAGGUUAAAUAGACCAAUAAAUGAGAAAUCGAAAGAAUAUUAUAUAAAUUCAUUAUAUUAUAAAAGGAUCUCUGAAAACUAUAAAAUUACAUUUCAAAUACGUUUAUAAUGUUUUAUAUUUAAAUAUUUUAAGUGAAUAUUUAAAUCAAUCAAAUAAUUUAUGUUGUGAUAUAUAUAUAUAUAUAUAUAUAUAUAUAUAUAUAUAUAUAUAUAUAUAUAUAUAUUGUUAUUGUUAAAUAUUUCCUUUAAAUCUAAAUGCAUGGAAAAUAAUCUUUAGAUUAACACAAAUAAUCAACAUAGGAGGAUCGUGUUUUUUUUUCAUGUGUGAAAUUGCCUUGGACUAACAACAAUUAUCCACAGUGAGUAAGAUUAGUGUCAACCAAAUGGGUUGGAAAAAACACUUGACCUAUAAAAAAAAAACCAUGGAAAACACGAGGAGCCACGAAAUGAUGAUCUAUAACAAAUAUCUGAUGAAAAAAAAUCUAUAAGCAACAAGAAAACAAAAGAUAAAUUACAUAAAAAAGCCAAAUCAGAUCUAGAUAAAAAUAAAAUAAAACUCAAAUUAUAAAACAACUAAGAAGAAUCGAUAGUAAGUGUCAAAAUUUUAUAUAUUACAGUAAAUGGUAUUCACGGUGAGAGAUGGUGAGUUGUAUGGGCUGCUUUGGUUUGGAAUAUAUGGAAACAGAGGAACUCUAACAGGAAGAGGUAGAUAAUGACUCACCGAGAGGAUUAUGUUUUUUUAGUGUAUUCUGUUAGGCUCUUAAUACUGAGGGGCAACUCUGUUAGAAUCAUAGUGCUGGGAUUGUUUUUGUUAUGGCAUGUUAUAAAUAUCAUCGUCUCCAUGCAAGAAAGGAAUAAAAAAAGCAAUUUCUUCUCCCUUUCUCUCUUCUAAGGAGGCAUUCCUGGACCUCGAAUCCCAGGAGGUUCACUGUGUGAACCUAACAAACUCGAUCGUCUUUAGGGGAGCAACAUUUAUUUGACACUCAAGUUGUGUUGAAGGACACCAUCUUUUACUCCGGAUCAUGGUUAAAAGGUAUUCAAAGAGUUUUUGCCUACUCUUUUCAGCAAUGGCAGGGUCGACCCAAGGCUAAGGCGAUCCAAACUCUAUUUUCUAUUAGUUGAAAUUAAUUAUUUUGUCUCCAUUUUUAUUUAUAAGACUUUUAAAAUGAUAUUUAUUCUAUUUUAUAAAACUCAAUCUAUAAUAUUUCUUUGAUUAAUUAUUUUUAGACUAAAAAUAUCCAUCAUUAAAUGAAGAAAGAGAAUGUAUUGACAAACUAUUAGACCAGAGAGAAGUGUAAUUACAAGGAUAAUUUUAAAAAAUAUUAUAAACGUAAGACAAACUUAUUAAAAAGGAUGGGACAAACUUAUUAAUCAAUGCAUGGGACAGACUUAUUAAUCACUCAUCAUAGGUGGCAUGCAAUGGAGAAUGUAACAUUCAAUUUUUCGUAAAAUAAAUUAAAAAGAAUUUUACUUAAAAAUAAAUAAAUUUUUAGAAAAAUUAUCAGAUUUUUGUGAUUAAAUAAAUAAGGAGAAAUAAUUUUAUGAAUUAAAAUAGUGUUUGCAAGGUAAAUAAAAUAAAUAUAUGUCUUUAGAAAAUAAAACCGACAAACAUCAUUUGAAUCGAAUAAUUAGUUUUUUCUAAGAUAAUUAGUUUUCGUCCUUAUUUAAAAAUUGGGUAGCGUGAUAUGAUAUGGAUACGGUGACAAAUAAUUAACAUUAACAAUGGCAGAAACUGCAGUGUCCUUGGCUGGUCAGCAUGCACUUUCAAAAAUAUUGGAAGCUGUCAAAAUGCUGAGAGAUCUCCCAAAAGAAGUUAGAGACAUUACAGAUGAACUUGAAAGCUUUCAAGAUUUCAUCAAUGAUGCUGAUAAAAUGGCUGAAGCUGAAGAAGAUGAUGGAAGGCGUCAUAGAAUAAAAGAAAGGGUGAUGCGGCUGAGAGAAGCAGCUUUUCGCAUGGAAGAUGCCAUCGAUGAAUAUAACAUCUCCUGUGAGGAUAAGCAACCUGAUGAUCCUCGAUGUGCAGCUUUACUAUGUGAGGCUGUUGACUUCAUCAAAACUCAAAUCCUUCGCCUUCAAAGUGCGUACAAGAUUCAGGAUGUUAAAUCCCUUGUUCGUGCUGAAAGAGAUGGUUUCCAAAGCCAUUUUCCUUUAGAGCAAAGACAAACCAGUUCUAGAGGAAAUCAAGAUAUAACAUGGCAGAAACUUUGAAGGGAUCCUUUCUUUAUUGAGGAAGAUGAGGUUGUGGGGCUUGAUGGCCCUAGAGGUAUAUUGAAAAAUUGGUUGACAAAGGGAAGAGAAAAACGCACUGUCAUCUCUGUGGUGGGAAUUCCUGGGGUGGGAAAAACCACUCUUGCCAAGCAAGUUUAUGACCAGGUGCGUAACAAUUUCGAGUGCCAUGCGUUGAUCACAGUUUCUCAAUCCUUCUCUGCUGAAUGAUUGCUGAGGCAUAUGUUGAAUGAGCUUUGCAAAGAAAAAAAGGAGGACCGUCCCAAGGAUGUUUCUACCAUCGAGUUGUUGACAGAAGAAGUCAGAAACCGCUUGUGCAACAAGAGGUAUGUUGUCUUGUUUGAUGACAUAUGGAAUGGAAAAUUUUGGGAUCACAUUGAAUCUGCUGUAAUUGAAAAUAAAAAUGGAAGUAGGAUAUUAAUCACAACCAGGGAUGAGAAGGUUGCAGAAUAUUGUAGGAAAUCAUCAUUUGUUGAGGUGCAUAAGCUAGAAAAACCUUUAACUGAAGAAGAAUCUUUGAAAUUGUUCUGUAAGAAGGCAUUUCAGUAUAAUUCCGAUGGAGAUUGUCCAGAAGAACUUAAAGAUAUAUCUCUAGAAAUUGUUAGAAAGUGUAAAGGUUUACCUCUAGCAAUAGUGGCCAUUGGUGGUCUUUUGUCUCAAAAAGAUGAAAGUGCAUCUGAAUGGGGACAAAAAUUUAGACUUGGAGAGGAAUUCUGAGUUAAAUAGUAUAACAAAAAUUUUAGGUUUAAGUUAUGAUGAUUUGCCGAUCAAUCUCAGAUCAUGUUUAUUGUAUUUCGGAAUGUAUCCGGAGGACUAUGAAGUUGGGCAACAAUAUUUAUCAGGGUUGGUCCGUAGAAGUUUGGUGCAAGUAUCCUCAUUUAGAAUUGAUGGCAAAGUUAAAAAGUGUCGUGUUCAUGACUUAAUACACGACAUGAUCCUUAUAAAAGUCAAGGAUACAGGGUUUUGUCAGUAUAUUGACGGGUGUGAUCAAUCUGUAUCAAGUAAGAUUGUUCGACACCUGACAAUUGCAACCGAUGAUUUUAGUGGAAGUAUAGGAAGCUCACCCAUUCGGUCAAUUUUUAUUAGCACAGGAGAAGAUGAAGCAGUAUCUGAACACUUAGUAAACAAAAUCCCUACCAAUUACAUGCUAUUGAAGGUACUUGAUUUUGAAGGUUCUGGUUUACGUUAUGUUCCUGAAAAUUUGGGGAAUUUAUGCCACUUGAAGUAUUUAAGCUUCCGGUUUACAGGGAGAUUAGUAAGCUUAAAAAGCUACGUCAUCUUCUGAGUGGCUACAUACCUUCAAUUCAAUGGAAGGAUAUUGGAGGCAUGACAUCCCUACAAGAGAUACCUCCAGUGAUUAUAGAUAAUGAUGGAGUGGUCAUUAGAGAGGUUGGAAAGCUAAAGCAGUUAAGGGAACUGACAGUGAUAGAUUUUACGGGAAAACACAAAGAGACUCUGAGUUCCUUGAUAAAUGAGAUGCCACUCUUGGAGAAACUACUUAUUGAUACAGCUGAUGAGAGUGAAGUAAUUGACUUGUACAUUACGUCACCUAUGUCUACACUUAGGAAGCUUGUCCUAUGGGGGACGUUAACAAGGUUUCCAAAUUGGAUUUCACAGUUCCCAAGCCUGAACUUGAAUUGGAGUGAAAAUUUGGAUUGUACAUGUUAAGCUUGGGGUGAACUCGUAUUGUAACAAGACAUGUUUGAUUUUGGCUUAGCACUUUAAUCCUUUUAGCAUAGUGCUUCAGCAAUUUUGGUACCCAAACUUUUAUGUUCAGGUUUGAUCAAUUUAUAUAUCACUUAUCUGGAGUUAGAUAAUUUUUUCAUGGCUUAAUUUUAUCUGGAGUUAGAUCAAAAAAAAAUUAAUGGUUGAAUAUAUGUUAUUAAAAUCAAUUUAUAUAUCACUUAUCUGGAGUUAGAUAAUUUUUUCAUGGCUUAAUUUUAUCUUUUUGUGUCAUUCAUUAUUUAUUUUAUUUAAUUUUGUCCUCCUAAUAAAAAAAUCUUUAAUUUGAUCGCUUAAAUCCAAAUCGAUUCAGUUUGAUCUUUUUGGUCCAAAUUCACCUGACAUUGUCUAUUAAUAGUGGGAUGAGAUUGAAUCAAACAAAGGAACAAAUUAAAUUGUUUAUUAAAAUUUUAAAAACAAACAGUGAGAAUAAGAAGUUUAUUAAGGGGUCAAGUUGCACCGUUUUGAAAAUUAAAGUACUAAAUUAAAUUGUUUAUUAAUAGAGGACCAAUGCUAAAUAAAGAAAUAGCACGACAAAAAAGUAAGGUUUUUUUUUUUACUUUUAAAGAUUUUAAAAUUUUUAUUGAAUUCUAAAAUAUUCAAUUAACUUGCCUAAUUCUUUGUUUAUUCACUCUUUUUUUUCCUUUUAAUCCUUGAUGUUUGAAAACUUCAAAACUCUUUUUGAUCACAAACAUAUUUUAACUCUCAUAAUUAAAACAACACAACAAUGUUUCUAAAAUCGGACUUUUAUAAGUUAUUGAUAAAUCACUUUGUGAGUGAUAUUUUGUACAAACUUUUGUGUUAUUUUGUAUGCAUUUUCUUGGUAGAAUUUACAAUUGGACACUAGUUUUGUAUUCCAAAAGUAUAACCACUCAAUUGAGCGAAAGAGUAGGAAAUUAUACAAAUUUAUGAAGAUUUAAGAACUUUACAUAACUUGAUUACUAUCGUGGUACAUUGAUCACGGUCGUGGUAAUCAGCAUGAUCACAAUAAAGUGAUAAGAGUCCUCCCAAACAGCAUCAAGAUCCAACAAUAGCCAUGGUAAAUUGACCACGAUCAUGGUAAAUCAAGAGGCUCAUAGUCAAUUUAUAAUGGUUCAAGGCUUCAGCGUUACUUCUAACCACAAUUGUAGUGCUCCUUUUCGAGCAAAUAUCUUUAGGAAGCUAUAUAUAGGUUUCUAGACUAUGUAAAAUCAUUUUUUAAUUAUUUUGAGUUUUAUUCUUAUCUUUUACGAAUUUGAGACAACCUUGAAAGCUUUUAAGAGCCGAAGAACUUAAACAACAUCGCUAGAAUGGAUCAUGAUCAUUGUUCCUACUUAUUGGUAUGUUUAUGUUUAUUUUAUCUAGGAUUGCUAGUGUUGUUCUGAUCAUGAGGAGCUAGUCCUCCUAGUCCGAAGAUUAUUAGAUAACUUUUCAUUUGUACCAUUCUACUCAUUUUUAAUGAAAUUUCUCAUUGAUUUUAUGUUAAUUAAUUCUCUUGUUUUUACUGUUUAUUUGAAACCAAUCAGUUUAAUACUUAAUCAAUUGCAUAAUACCAAUCAUGUAAUUGGUAGAUUUAGGUAGAGAAUGUUUUAUGUCAAAUUGCAUGAUCAACCUCUUUGGGUAAUCUCCAAUACAUUAGUCAAUCUUUAAUUAAUCUUUCCUAUAAUUGAUUUUCUUUUGACUUAAAUUGAUAGAACCAAUGAUCAUUGGGGUAUUGAUUUAAGGCAAGAAACAUCUUAUAACCUUGAUCAUAGACUUUAGUUGAUUUUGUGAAUGAGUAAUUAACUGGAGAAAGCAUUUUAUUACAACUAGGGUUGAAGGAAAAUUAGUACUAGUAAGUCAUAACCCCUAAUCACUCUUAUCAUCAAUAAACCCUUUCUUUAUAUUCGUAUAUUUUUUUACUUAUAAAUCCGUAAAAAUAUUUAAAUUAUCUUUUUAAUUACUUCAACGGUUAAUUUAAUAAACUUGACUAAUUGGGAAUACAACUCGUCAUUUAGGUUUGAUAUCCAUACUUUCGAAACCACUAUUAUGAUUGCGUAAGGUACACUUAAGGUAUAACAAACAUAUUGGACAUACAACGAUGACAACAUGUAGCAUAUGCAUUUAUGGUUUUGGGAAUAAAAGAAGAAAUCUGAAAUGAAAACACUAUGAGUGUGUUUGGAUGAGGGAAUUUAAAAUUCGGAGGAAUUUUAAAUUCUAAGAAUUUCAAAUACCUCAAUUGAAAUUCUUUUAUUUUGAAAAUUUUGUGUUUCUAUAAAAAAAAAUUAAAAUUGAGGGUGAAAGAAAAUGAGUCACGAGUUCGAGAAUGCGAUUAGUGAAAAUGAGGAUGAAGGUUAUAAAGGAAAUACACAAACUUUUUGGAAAGUUCUAAUGUAAGAAGAGAAUUUCAAUUUCUCACGUUUUACAAGGAAGUUAAAAUUCCACAUUUUUAGUGGUUUAAAAUUAUGUUUUAAAAUUCCAAAAACUUAAAUUCUUCAAAUAAAAAACAUCCAAACAAUGAAUUUUAUAUUAAAGAAAUUAAAUUUUCUGAUAAAUUACUUUCCUUAGUUAAAAUUAUAUAUUAAAGAUAUAUUGAUAGAGAAAACAUGAAAGAAAACUGGAUUCGAGGCCAGCCUCCAAACAAGGCAAGAAAGAAAGCAAACUUAGCUUUUUUCAUAUCAUGUGUGCCUUACAAUUGCUUUAUUUAUACUAAUUCCUUGCUAAAAGAAUUUGUCAUUUUGUGUCAAGGAAUAUUUUAGGAAAUCAUUGGCUAACAAUUUAUGAUUACGCUUGUCUCCCUAAGGCCAACCAACCAUCAUCUAGCAAUUCUUCAUUCCAGGUCAGCUUCCUUUCUCGCUUUUCUUUCUCAUGUGUAGUCUCUGAGGUAAGAGGGCUUUGUGAUGGCCCUCUUUACUUUCUUGCUAUCUGUACCCUUGAUUUUUGUGUUUGUACCUCUGUUUUGUGUUCUCUGUUAACUGCCCCAGCUUUUGUAUCAUGCGUACGCCCUUGUAAAAUUACCUUGUCCUCAAGGUGAUAAUCCUCACAUAAUUGAUCCCAAUUCUCCCACGAGGUGUCAUCCGGGGAUAGCCUUUCCCAUUGCACCAACACUUCCCAAGGCCCUUGUUCUAAAGCUCGCCGAUAAUCUAAUAUGGCUAGCUAAAUGAGUAAUGACUGGUUGGUGCUGAACAAAUUGUUUUGGAAAGUGAACUUCCUGAAUAUGUUCUGGGGAGCCUUUGAAUGCUUUCAACUGGGAGCGGUGGAAAACAGGAUGUAUGCGGACUUCUUUCGGCAAUUUCAAGCGGUAUGCCACGGGUCCUAGGCGUUCCAGAACUUGAAAUGGUCCGUAGAAUCUCUUAGCCAACUUGCCCAUGAUUGCUUGUGGUCCCUUAGCGGAGACUUUUCGGUGGGGCCUUAAUUUAAGCAUAACCCAAUCUCCUUGUUGGUCGAUCACCUCUCUUCGUUUAGCAUCUGCAGUUAUCUUCAUACGGUCUUGUGCUUUGAGAAGCUUCUUGCGAAUGGCCUAAAAUGUUUCUUCUUUGUUGGUCAACAUUUCGUCAACUGCAUCCAGAGCAGAAGAACCCGCGAUAUAUUCAGGAAAAUUAAAGGAUUUGCGCUUGAAUGUGAUCUCAUAUGGAGUGGUGCCUGUUGCCGCAUUCCAUGAAGUGUUAUGAGACCACUCCACCCAGAGAAGAAACUUGCCCCAUUCCCUUGGCUGAUAAUGAACAAAUGUGCCCAGACAUUGCUCUAUGACCCUGUUUAGCACCUCCUUUUGACCAUCACUUUGUGGGUGAUAAGCGGAGCUCAUCCUUAGCCGUGUGCCACUCCGACGAAACAACUCUUGCCAGAAUUUGCCAACGAACAAGGGGUCGCAGUCAGAGACCAGGCUGCGAGGGAGGCCGUGAAUCUUGCCCAUGAUUUCCAUGAACAACGAGGCUACCACAUGGGCUGUGUGUGUCGCUAAUAGCAUGCCAAGAUGAAUGCCUUUUGAAAAUUGAUCAACCCCUACUAGUAUUAACUGUGUUGCUGUGAUAUGGUGGGAGCCCGGUAAUGAAGUCCAGGGAUAAGUCUUCCCAAGGUUGAUGGGGAACUGGCAAAGGGCAUAGUAAUCCUGUUGCUCUUUUUGUCUCGUACUUAGCAUGCUGACAAUCAAUACAUUGCGAGACAAACUUCGUGACAUCUUCUCAAAGUCCUGACGAUUCAAAGUUUUCCGUCAAGCGAGCUAUCAUUUUCGCAAUCCCCAUGUGGCCUCCUGUGGGUGUUGUAUGCUACUCCACCAGUAAUGUGGGAAUCAAGGGCAGGUCCUUUGGUAGCCAAAUUCGUCCCUUCCAGAGGAUCAAGUUAUGAACAAGAGUGAAUCCAGAGUGCUUAUCGGGGUCCACCGUGAUUGCUUGUCGAAGAUGUCGAUACUCAGGAUGAUCCUUCAAUUGGUGGUGCAGUUCUUCAAAGAAAAGAGGGCAAGGGACAGAAAAGCUCAUAUAGAAUGAAUUGGAACCACGCGAGCGUCCUGCCUUCCAUGUAGAACAAAGCUAUGGUAAGUCUUUCAUUCUUUGGUGUGCCAUGGUAUUCGAAGAAUUGGUUGAUUUAGAAAAUCCAACCAAGUGGUUCGGUGCCAUCAAAACGAGGCACAUCUAACUUCAUUCGGUGAUUGUUUGCAGGUACCGAUGGUGAUGGUGGAGGUGUUGGAGAAGAAGAUGACGAGAGGAUGGGAGUGACACGAUUAAGGAGUUCAUCAAUUUUUUGAGUGAGUGAGUGCAUGGAUUCGCCGAGGGAUAGUUGAUGAUUGGUGAGUCUGAGUAAAACUUCAUCAAGCUUAUCGAAGGUACCCAUGGUGUGGACCGGAUGGAACGAUAGCACCAAAAUUAAAAGAGAAAACUUGAAAGGAAACUGGAUUCGAGGCCAGCACCUCCAGACAAGGCAAGAAAGAAAGGAAACUUAGCUUUUUUCAUAUCAUGUGUGCCUUACAAUUGCUUUAUUUAUACUAAUUCCUUGCUAACAGAAUUUGUCAUUUUGUGCCAAGGAAUAUUUUAGGAAAUCAAUGGCUAACAAUUUAUGGUUACGCUUGUCUCCCUAAGGCCAACCAGCCAUCAUCUACAAAGGCAGACAAUUUUUGACAACGGAAAAUUCAAGAUUCCCUCAAAUUCUUUCUUUUGUAGCCCGUGAGAUGGUGGAUGAGUGGAUUUGAGCCAUCAAAGGGCAAGAUUCAUCAAAUUAAUUUUUUAAGUGAUAUAUAUAUAUAUAUAUAUAUAUAUAUAUAUAUAUAUAUAUAUAAUUUAGAUAUCUUCUCGAUCUUCCUAUAAUGGAAAACAUGAAUAAACUAUAGGAAAUUGUAAUUCUACCUUAAUUAGUGAUUUUGAAUGAGAUUUGAUUAAGUAGUUAUGUUAAAUAUUUGGAAAACUCUUUUUAUUGUACAUAAUAAUUAUAUUGGGUUCAAAGAAAUUAUUUUUAAUGGGAAAUAUCUUUUCUUUGUUGAAUUAAGGCAUUGUUCUUCACUUCUCCCUUAAAAAAAUUGAAGAAAAAAAAAAAGAAAAGUGCAUCCCCUUCGACGUCCCUUGCAGGAGACAAUCAUAGAAGAAAGUCGAGCCACCUCUCUCUCUCUCUCUGGUGGCAAUAUAUAACAAUUAAAAGGAAAAUAUAAGCCAUUAGUAUUAUUCAGUAACAACAAGAAUUAUUGAAUCAGUCAACGCUUACUUUCGAAUAUAAUAUAUAUUGUGUGUAUUGUGUUGCAUAUUUUAUAACACAUCUUCAAUUAUUUACAUAUAAUAUCAUUCCUGUCUAAAGUCUUCUAUAGCAUAUGAUGAUUAAAAAAAUGUCCGAGACUCACCCUAUAACAAUACUCAUAAUUUCCGUUGACAUUUCACAUACUCAACUCAUAGAUUCAAGGAGAGGAGAUGUAUGGUGAAAUUGAAAGGUUCAUCAAAGUAUGGAUUUCAGCCAUCUUAGGUUUAUGUUAUUGUUAUUACAUAGCUGCAAGAAUACCAAAGGGCUUCUUGAGACUUCUCUCCCUUCUCCCUAUUCUCUACCUCUUCAUCAUCCUUCUUCCUUGUUCAACUUGGCAUUUUCAAGCUCAGCUCCUACUUUUUUCCUUCAACAAAGGCCCUCUUGCCCUAUCACCCCCAAACAUUGUCCAUUUCAUCUCCAUAGCUUCCCUCCCCAUCACCCCAAAACAACAUCCACCAACCAAUAAAAAUAACACCACCAACACCCAAAAGCCAAAAUGGCUAUUGCCCUUAAAAUUGCUUAUUUUUGCAAUGAUCGCACGUGUUUAUGAGUACAAUGAAUACUUCCACCCUCAUUUCAUAUUAGUCCUUUAUUGUCUUCACUUGUACCUUGGCUUAGAGCUUGUUUUUGCUCUUAUUGCAACCUCGGUUCAAACCCUUUUUGGCUUAGAGAUAGAACCACACUUCAACGAACCCUACCUUUCGUCCUCACUACAAGAUUUUGGGGUCAUAGAUGCAACCUUAUGGUUAGACAUGGCGAGAAAACCCAUACCUGUGGGUACCCGCCCGAAUCCUUCCCGACUUUGACGGGUAAUACCCGAGUUGAUCGGCUAUGGGUUCAGGUUUUUUCCGAUAAUCAAAAGUUGGAUACGGGUACGGGUAUGUGAUUACUAGAUCCGUCUCGACCCCGAAACCGAACCCGCCUCGCCACUUGAAAUCUUUAAAACUUUUGCAUAAUUUAAUCAAAAGACAUAGAAUUUUUAUUACUAGUUAAUUUUAUUUUUGAAUUUUUACAUAAUUUAAUAUUAUUUUUUUAACGAUUUUUUAAGACACAUGUGCUAUGAUAAAUUUAUAGAUAUAUAAGUGGUUAAAAAUAAAUGUUUAACAAUCAAUUUAUUUUUUCUAAAAUCAAAUUUUUAAUAUUUUUUUACAAAAAAUUAUUUUUCUAAUUUGAAUUGGGUAUGGGACGGAAUCAGGGAUACCCGAUACCCGACGGGUACCCGAUGGAUACGGGGAUGGGAUAAUAAACUUUAACCCGUCGGGUAUCGGGUACGGGUAUGGGGAUAUGUUGGGGAGUCGGGAUAAGGGAUUGUGGAGAUAAUACCCGUACUCGCCCCGUCCCAUUGCCAUGUCUACUUAUGGUUUCUCGUCUUCUACACUCUACAGUAUACAACCACGUAAGCUGUACGAUUACGGGUUUAGUGGGUCCCUCAUGUGCCACGUCAGCUGGCAUGUUCGCCACGUUCCUUGUGUCUGGGCUUGUGCAUGAGUUAAUCUAUUAUCAUGUUACACGUGUAACUCCCACGUGGGAAGUUACGUGUUUUUUUGUGCUUCACAGUGUGUGCAUGGUGGCGGAGGUGGCUGUUAAGAAGGUGGUUCUCCGUCGUGGAUGGCGGCUGCACCGUGCCGUGUCAGGGCCACUCGUGGUGGCAUUCUUGGCUAUCUGGGCGAAUUGGCUGUUUUUUCCUCAGUUGUUGAGGAAUGAAAUGGAUAGAAAGUCCACUGAAGAGUAUGUAAUUUUGGUGGAUUUUGUUAAGUCUAAGAUAUACCAUUGAGAAUGUUUAACUCUUGAGAGUAAACGUUAAAGGAUGAGAGAGACUUAUAAUUGUAAUAUUUACCUUAAAGGGUAAAAUAAAACAUUUCGUUUUUUUUUAAGAAUUAUUUAAUUGUGAAUAAGGCAUAUAUGUUGAAUAUGUUGAAAAAUGAUGAGUGUGACUCAAGAGCUAACAUCUGAAAAUGUGCAAGUCUAAAAACAUUAAAGUAUUUUAUGUUUUUAUUGGAUUUACGUGGGUGUAUAAAAAAAUAUAUGGGUGUAUGAGUUUAGUUUUGAAGGCAAAAAAAUAUCUAUUUAAAUAUUUGAAAAAAAAAAAACUUAAUUGCACAUAGUGUUUCAAAUGAAAGAUACGCAUACGUGGUUUAAAAAAAAAAUGCCAUCUCUAUCUUGGAUUAAUGCAUUGUUCUUUCUUACAAAAUUGGGAAAAAAAAAUUAAGGAAAAGUGUGUCCCCCCUUGAAGCAAUAACAACUAAUCUAAGGAAAAUAUCAUCCAUUAGGAGAUUUAUAAUUAAAGUGUGUCCCCCCUUGUAGCAAUAACAACUAGUUAGUAAUAAAUGAUUGAACUACUGUUACAGCUGGCUAAGUUUCCUUCUAGAUUAGUCAAAGGCAAGAUCGAGAGGCACAGAAGCGUGGCAAUUAAUUUGGGUAGCUAUAAUCUGCUGCCUGUUGAACUUCAGAAAAAAAAUUGUCUUUAGAAGUGGUAAUUUGUCGUUUGAAGAUUGCUUGGAAUAUGUAAGAUUUAGAACAUGAUCUUGAUUGCAUGCCAGCAUAUUUAAAGGCUUCAGUUAUUCCUUCUUUGAGUGGUUAAACAGCCCAAUGAUGACUAUAAUUAAUGGUUUUUUUAUUAUUAAAAUGGAAUAAAAAUUAAAAUUAUCAUAAUGGAUUCAUCAAGAAAAUAUUUAUCAAAAUAGAUGAUUUUUGUCACAUAGGAUUAUAGAAAAUGUUACUUAAGUGAUACCUUAUGUUUUUUGUGUAUUUUAUAGCAUGAGGCACCAUUCUUGUAUACUCCAUUUUCGCCAAUGCUAAAUUCGUAUUUAAUGAUUAGAUCUUAUGACACAGUUUUACUCAAUGAUGAUCAAGCUAAUACAAAAUACUUAUAAAAUUAAACUCUUGUCUUUACAACAAUUUAAAAUAAGUAUAAAUGUAUAAUUAAUUAUGAAAAAAAGAGAUAGGUAAGCUUAGUAACGAAGAAUAAAAUAAUAAGAGUAUGUAUUUGUAUUUCUUUUGAUAAUGAAGAAUAUUUUUUGGAGACAAAAUAAGACGUAUAAAUUUCAAUUUUUUUAUAUAUAAUUUUUUGGUUGAGUGUCUUUCAGUAAACGACAUCAUGCUUUAAGAUUUUAGUGUCAGCCUCAACUUUUUGGCAUCUAGAGUUGAAUGGGAACAUUCUUUAGUUCUUAUCACUUUGUCCUGAUUGUUUUGUGCUAGCAAAAUAAAUUUUUAGAAAGUCUGUUGAAAGUCAUUCUAAUUAUCUAGAAUCAUGAGAUGCUCUUCAUCCUGAAGUAGUUAAUUGGUCAAGAUAUAUGUGGGGUGUUGAACAUGUAUUGAUUUCCGUUGGCUUGAGAAGUUCUACUGUUUCAUUCACACAAAAAGCUCAUAGAACUUUGGUUGGUUUGUGCCUGUCUCUCAAAAGUGCAAGUGUGUAAAUUUGAGUACUUUCAUGAAUCAUUUAUACUAGGUGAUUGAUGUUGUGGUUUAUUUUAUGUGCUUAUGUUAAUUGUGUUUUUCUUUUUUCUAUCUUGAGGAGCGUAUGAAUGCAGAGAAAUAGAUGUUGAAAUAUUUAGAAAUAUUUCUUUCAAUAUAUUAUUAUGACAUGAAUUUUAUUUACUAUCAAACAGGUUCAUCAAAUUUGUGGCUAUGAUGUUUAUUGCUUUAGAAAAGUUUUAUUUGAGCUGGUGACAAAAAUUGUUGAUCCGUCAAUGGUUGUUGAUGAGGAUUUCUUAGACGAAAUAUGAGCUAUAUCCAUUUUAGCUCAUUCACUUGCUUUUAAAUUUAAGAAAUUACAAUAUUGUAUAGUAUUGUAACUAUAAAGUUAAUAAAUUAGUAUACUAUUGUAUUUUCAUCCAUAUUAUACAAUCUCAUGAUGUUAUAUUAUCCAGUUUAUCUUAAUCAUCAUUUAUACAUUUUUUUAUAACAUAUAAUAUUAAAUACUUUUGUUUUGCUACAAACAAUGUUUCGAACAUUAUAACUUUGUUACUUCCAUUUUGUUAUAUAAUAUCUAUUUUUUUUUGCUUGAUCUUCAAAUCAGUUAUAUGUGCUGGUAAUUCAUUUUUUAGCUUAUAUUAAUUUUUUUCACAUUUACUUGCUUUCAAAUUUAAUAAAUAAUAAUAUUGUAUAAUAAUAUAUCUGUAUAGUCCACACCUAUAUUAUUAUUUGUAUUUUUCAGCUUACCCGUGCGAAUACACGGGUUACUUUCCUUAUAAAUGAUCAAACAGCAGACAAAUUAGAAAAAAAUGAUUUCAAAGGAUAAAGACCCAAAAAUAGGACUUUCAUAUAAACUAAUUAAGAAAAAAAUCUAUUUUGAGAAGCCUAAAAAGAGGAAUCAAACAUUAUUGUUUGGUCUCCUGUUUGAAGGUGAAUUUCUACAAGAGUUGCUUUGGGCUAUGGGAGUGGAAAAUAGGGUGGUGGAAACAUAUGCAGAUUUAUUGAAUUGUAGAAUUUUAUCUUGGCCAUUUGUAUAUCUUGGGAUACCAAUUGAGGCUAAUCCAAGGAAGUUGAACUUAUGGCAACCCAUCUUUGACAAGUUUUCCAAGAAGUUGACACUUUGGAAGCACAAGUUUAUGUUUCUUGCGGGUAGAUCAUGUUUGGUAAAUUCUGUGUUAUCCUCUUACCUCUUUUCUUUCUUUAGGAUUCAAAAUGUAGUGAGGAAGAUUCUAGUGGGGAUUCAAAGGAGGCUUUCAUGGGGAGGGGGAAAUGAGAAUAAAAAAAUAGCAUGGGUUAAGUGGGGGGAUAUUUGCAAGGAGUAGAGUGAGAGUGGGCUAGGAGUAAAUGAUAUAAGGUCAUUUAACGAGGCUUUGUUGAGAAAUGGAGAUGAAAUUUAUUCCAUGGUGAGGGGAGGGAGUUUUUGAAAGAAGUGUUAAUUUUGAAGUAUGGUGGUUGGAGGGGCAUUCUAAAUGAGUGAGAACAAACUCUUGAGUCAUGGUGGUGGAGGGAUUAAAGAGGGUUUGUGGAGGAAAAAAUGAGGUGAAAUGGUUGAAUGGGUUUGUUGAUGUGUUUAAACAAGUUUUGGUUGAAUGAUUGGAUGGAUAGACAAAGUUUAGCUAAUAUAUUCCCUGGACUUUUUACUAUCUCCGACCAAUAGGAGGAAGUGAUUGUUAAGACGGGUUCAUGGAGGGAUGGUUCUUGGCGGUGGGAGGUAAAGUGGAGGAGGAACCCUUUUGUAUGGGAGACUAAACUUAUACAACAGCUUCAUCAAUUACUGGAAGGGGUCCAACUACAAAUUUCAGGAGAAGACAGAUAGUUUUGGAAGCAAUGCCCCUCAGGGCAGUUUUCAACUUCAUCGGCCUAUCACUUUAUUCAACAACUUGGAGGGGCGGGAGAAACUUGACAACUUUUUGAGUAGAUAUGGAAAAUUAAAAUUCCACCUAAAGCUAAAAUUCUUAUGUGGAGAAUUUUCAGAGAUAGAAUGCCAACUCUUGAUAACUUGGUAAAGUGAAAUGCCAUUGAUAGGUAUUGUGAUCAAAUGUGUCCUCUCUGUUUGGGUCAUCAAGAAUCUGCUCAACAUCUUUUCAUCUCUUCUAAUGUCAUUCAAGAUGUUUGGUUGGAAUGCAUCUCAUGGAAAUCUCUUUCUCUUGCACAGCCAAGUAGUUUGGAAGUUCAUUUCAGGUAAUUUGCAGGUUUAGGAGGUUCUAGAAUUGAGUCAGAAUUUUGGCAAGCAACAUGGGGAGCAGUGGUCUUUUGUGUGUAGAAAUUGAGGAACACAGUUGUUUUUAGACAACAGUUAGUGGACAGAAAGAAAUUGAUAGAGGAAGUUAAAUUCCUUAUCUGGUCAUGGUUACAUAAUCUGGAUUCUGGUUUUAAUUUUUCAUUGGUUCAAUGGUCAUCUAAUCCAGCAGUUUGCGUACAUGGAUGGUUUGGCAGGACAUUAUGUAUGUGGCAAGUAGCUGAGUGCAGGAAAUUCGAUCAGAAAUGUGCAGGAAAGGGUAUGUGUAGCAUUGUGGAAUCUGUCAGGUGGAAAUGCUAAUUAUGGAGGUGAGUUCAUUAAUCUAUUUUGCCACAUACAUGCGAAGAACUUGCGCUGUGUUAUUAUUAAGAAAACUUCUCUGCAUGGUAUAUGGCUUUUGGUAGUGGGGUAACUUCCACAUGACUUUGUUUUGCAUAAUUUUAUCCAGCAAAGACAUGUUAUAGCUGGUUAGUGGUGGGAUACUAUACUAUGAGAGGAAAUGAGUGAAUUACAAUACUCUGGUAUGUUGUGGAGCUUUGAACGGCUAUUUUUUAUUUAUGCAAUCAUCGCCUAAAUAUAUUGUAACCGCUGUCAUGAGCUGAUGGGGAAGUUCUAUGAACUUUUUGUAUUUACCUCUGGUACCCUUCUUUAUUACAUAUAUACAACUUUUGCUGAUUAAAAAAAAUGUUUUUUCGAUUUCUUGCUGACACUGUAAAAGAUAGUCAUUGAAGUUUAUUAGCUGUAUACUAGCAAUGGUAUAUUUUAGUUGAAUAAAUCAGAAAUAAUAAUAAAACAGAUAAUGUGUUUUGAGGUGCAAUAAACAGGCUCAAAUCAUUAAUAAUAAUAUUAAGAAUAUGUUGCUAUAAAGAUCUGCUGCAAAUCUUGGGUAACGUAAAACCAUAUAUUUUUUUUAAAAUUAACAGGUAUUGCUUUCUAACUCAAAUCAUUUUAGCACCAUAUACUGCUGCCUUUUGGUUGACAUGCAAAUGAGGCAAGCUGAAGAUGCCAUAUUUGAAAUAGAAACCACGGAUAAAGAACAUAUAAAUAUAAGAUUGGCCUAGUGGUUAGGAAAGAAGGACUUAAGGGUAAAGGGAGAAAGGAGGGGAGAGAGGUCAUAAGUUUGAAUCUCCACACUGACAAUUUUUAACAAAACUAACAUUUGCCGAUACAAAAAAUCAGAUAAAGAACAUUGUGUAAUCAACAUGCUAUGAUUUAGCACAUUCCAUGUUACAAUGUGUCUCACCCUUAUAUUAUUUCUAAAAGUUUCCAUAAAGACUACAAGAAAGCUACAAAGAAGGCAAAAGAAAGGUGCAUAUGCUAUACACCUUAACCUUAUAUUAAUGAUGCAUAAAAAGCAAUAUACCCUUCUGAAUGAGAUGUAGGAAUUAUACCCUGGUUGCGUACACUUGUUUUCUUGGACAUGGGAUAUGCAAGUGCAGAUCGUUGCUUGGUUAACCCUUCAAUGAUAAAAGAAAGUGCCCCAUAAGCAAUGCAGCUCUGUAGAAGUGAUUGGGGUGUACCUGGAGAAUCCUAAAGGAUGAGUCAUAAUAACAAUAAAAACGUACAAGAGAAGAAAAUUAAAUACAUAUUUUUCUUUUUGGUGAAUAAAUUACAUACAUAUAGAGAUAGACUUAUACAACAGAAUUGAUUGAAAUGCCUGAGUCACUAAAGCAGCUUUUUGUUUUGUUUUGUUAGACCAUUCAACAUAGUAAUAAACCUCAACCUUUCCCCAGCCACCAAUUGGAGACAAAAUUGUCUCAAGUGUUUGGCAUGAAGGAUCAUGUUUAUUCAUAGAUUUCAACAAUGAAAGACAAAUUAAAAUUCAUACCUUUGAGAAAAAAGGUUUGGUCAAAAUAGGUAAGAUUACUGUGACCUUUAUCCUUAAUUUCAAUUGGUGCAGAGACCAACAAGUUACUAAAAAUUUCAAAAGUAAAGGAUGAUAGUUCAUCAAUUAUUAAAAGAAGGGAUAUACCAGGAAAACUUGUAGCAAGACCAGCGCAGCAUCCAGCUACCCCAGCAUUAAUGGCUGCAGAUGUGAAAGGAAUCACAUUAUCAGUGAGAGAACAUUAUAUUGGCGAGGCUUUUUUAAGUUGGCUUCUAACAUAUUUGGCUGAAUUAGAAGUUUGUUUGCCAAAUUAAACCUCUUUGCCAAAGGAACAUAUUUUUAUGAGUGUUUUUGUAACACUUUUCAUGUAGCAUCUGAACACUACCUUAUCAUAAUUCCUUCUUUCUUUUCAUUAAUAGUUUCCAACUAACUUUUUAGCUUCCAAUUAACUUAUAUGUUAAGUUUUGUCAAACACAUCAUUGAAAUUAAAUAUUUUAUACCAUCAUCCUUUCCUCUAAGUCUUCCCAAUAUGCAGACAACCAAACUAUCAACUCCGGAUAAAAUUGCAAAUGUCUAAUGAAAAAGAAGACAAAAAAUGAAGAUUAUUAAUGAAUGGACAUGUUCAAAUAGGUAUUAAGUUUGCAAAGUAAAACGCCGGGCAGAAAAUAAACAACAUUGAUCUCUGGUAUACCUUAGCAUUAGAUCCUGCUUGUAUAAAGGAUCCUUUAAAGUCUUUCUUCUUAAUCAAUCCAGCACCUGAAAACAGACCCAUUGAAAGCAUCCUUGAGCACGAACAGAAAUAUCGACCAACUAUCAAACUCUAAGAAUUUGAAUUUCUUGAUCAUAAUCCUCUGCCAGCAUUUCAAAGAUAGCAUAGAUACACAAAUAUAACCUAUGAUUGAAUAAAGCAGAAAAUUCAGUUCAAAAUCCAUUUCUCUAGUUACUUGUUAGGAAAAUAUUAUAUAGAUUCAAAAUUUUAAGUAAUGUUACACACUCACUCCUCUCCUUCUUCACUCAAAGGUAAUAAAUAACUAAUAACAGAAAAGAUUUGAAGGUGAAAUUAUCUACCAAUAGAUUCCUCUUUAAGUUGUGUACAGGAUAUAAACAAAACGACAUAUACUCCCAAAUUACAAAUUUCUCAGAGGAUGCUAUAAAUUCAAGAAAGAAAAAACAAUUUCAAAUUGCAAAUUCCGUGUAGCCUAUUUGAUUAAGAAUAAAACUUAGAUUUAGUUGCAGUUAAUUAAGUGUCUUUAGAGUUAUUCUCCUGUCAGAAUUGGAGUUUUACUUUCUAAACCUUUAAUACAAAUCUUUAUUAUGUGAAUUACAAGUGAAACUCCAAUUAUGAUUGAAAAACAACAUUAAAAGUACCUAAGGAACUGCUUCUAAGAAAGUUAAAAUACCAGAAACAAGAGAAUGACGAAGAAAAACAGAAAAAAGAAAUGGUAACAUCACAAAAAGUAAACAUAAAGCACAUGCAAGUCCAAGUCAGAGAGAGGACCAUAGCCGAAAAGGGAGCCAGUGAGGGCACCACAAGCAGUGCUAGUGGUGGCAGGGAGAAGAAGGGAAGCCGUGAGGGACGGAGUAGAGGAAGGACCUACAGAUUUUGUAGGAUUGGGAGCAUUGUUCACAUCACUAACCGAAUUAACUGUUACAUCCGAUGCCAUCUUUUUUGAGUUUUGACGAUGUGGUUACCCUGCUCUUGACUUGAAUUUAUUCCACACUAACAACAUUACCUCUUUCAACAAUAAACUAAUCAACACUGCUAUUCACAAUUAUUAAUUAGCUAAGUAAAUAUUUAGGAACACAAGGUCCUUCUCUGACUAUGUCAGUUAUGCAAUCCUCAUUGUUAUUAACGAUAAUCAAAUUCUUUGAAGUAUGAAAACAAAGUUCUGUAUAGAAACCAACGAAAUGGGAUAUUUUUUCUUCCUUUUUUCUUUUAAAAAAAAAUCUCACAAAGUAUAUAGAGUAAACCAAGCAGAUACACAAGAUAUCACCAUUUUAGUCCUAACCAUGAUUUGCAGAUCCUAAACGACGAUGCAAAUCUGCUAAGAGGCAUCCACGAAGUGAAAAUCGUUGGCUUAUAUGAAUCACUGGCUUAUAUCAAUCGAAUUGAAUCAUAGUGUUAAAUGAAAGGGAAAGUGCAAGUGCAUGAGCUAGUCCUGGUGCAUUACCAUCAACUACUACUGUCCACUCUUGUUCACUCUUGCUUUAAAUGAUUAAUUUUGUUCCAUUGAAGCUCAAUAUUCAUUUCAAAUCAUGAUUACAUGCUCUUUAAAUGAAUUACUGCAUAAACUUUUGACCACAAAACAUAACCAACUAUGAGCGUGAAAGCACACAUCCAAUUACAUGUUAUCUACUCAUGCAUUAUACAGUACAAACCAAAAAAGCCUACUAUUUUCAACAAUGUUUUAGGUGUGAUUGGUUUGAGGGUGAAACCAACCAAAAUGUAUCAACUGUAUGAUUUUCUUGAGGUAAUAAUCAAUGAUUAUUUUGGCUCCAUAAACUACUCGUUUUCAUUGUGUUCCUAUUGGUAUUGAAGCUAUUAGUUUCAGGCUAUGAUAAAUUGUAGUAGCUGAAUGCGAUUGUUAGGGAAACAAACCCUUUUAGCUACAAUGAACAUCAAAGACAGAACACACUAACAACACCACCAUGAAAAAGAAAUAUGGGAAGAACACAUCAAAGGAUAAAAAACACUAACUACAACUCCAUAAAAUAGAAAUAGUAGAACAACACAAAUUUAACAUUUUCAGUACUUCUUGCUUAUGUCAACAGAAAUAUCUUAAUAAAUAUUCAUUAUCUCAAAUAAGUUGAGAGAAACUUCAUCAAAUAAUGAACACAUGAUUUCAAACUUUUUUCAUCACUCAAUUGUAUUCUAUUUCAGCCUAAAAGCCUCACAAAUAAACCCUAAAUCUUAAUAAAAAUAACUUUCAUUAUUUAUAACCUAUUUGACAUUUUUUAAAAUUAAAAUUCCUUCUCACGGAUCAAGAUGAUCCGUAAGCUUGUUGCGGAUCAACUACAUCCUUAAUCAAACUUACGGAUCAACUUGAUCAACCUAACUCUGGCAACAAUGAACUAAAAGACAUGGUUACGGUGCUUACCUCGAUGGUGGACGGUGACGAAACUCCCUCGAUGGUGGACGGUGGCGUUGCUCUUCACGAAAACCUCCUCAAUGCACCUCACGGCAAGCUCCCCUUCACGGCAACAAUGGUGGUUGAAGAAGAAAAAAAACCUCUUCCUAGUAACCUCCUUUUAACGGCAACAAUGGUGACAAAUGGAAACGCCGGUGAGGCGAGCAAGAAGAAGACAAAAAAGGUAAGGAAGAAGAAGAAUAAAUCGGGCUGAGGAAGUAGAAGCCGAAACACGGGCGGGAGAGAGAGUCUCACGUUUUUUUUAAAAAAAAUAAGUCAGGGGUAUUACGGGCUUUUCACUUCAAGUGUUGGGUGCACCAGCAAAAAUACUGGGUGCACCUAGCAACACUCUUCGAAGUUUGGUUUAGGCUUACUAAUAUGUUGGGCCCGGACCUGAGGAAUGGUCAACCAACAUAAUAUAAUUAAGUCCUUGCAUUGUUAAAUUUUAAGGGACGUACAGGUAUGAUAUAUGCAUGGUGCGAUUAUUGACGGUGGGUGUCUCUCGCCGAUAAUGACAUAAUUACAUAGAUGAGGGGGUGAGUAUGUUGUGUUUGAUAGUUAGUCUUGCAUCUUCCUUUGCGUAUUUAUUCUUAUGCAGAUUAAGAUGUAAGGCGCAGUCAUUUGUUGGGUAAUGCUUUCUUUCGAGCCUUAGGGGUAGGCUAGUAGUUCUUUGCAUUCCAUGUACGGGCCAAUGUAGCCACUUGUAUUUGCACUGCUUGUGCUUCUUAUUAUCAAUAUAAAUAUAUAUAUAUAUAUAUAUAUAUAUAUAUAUAUAUAUAUAUAUAUAUUCGUCGAUAAAAAGAAAAACUUAUCGUGUGACCUAAUAUCAAAUAAACAAUACCAAUCCACAAAAAGAAAAAGAAAUAACCUACUAUAUAGAGUCAAACAAGUAGUAGAUAAUUUGAGUAGUUUCAUGAAAUCAUAAGUUUUAAAUGUUAAGUUUGUGUUCAUCUUCUUAAGUUACGAUAAAUGAAAUUAUAUAUAUUGAAACAGAUUUUAUUUAAAAAUAAAUAGAAUUUUAGAAAAAUAAUGAGAUUUUUUAUUAAAUAAAUCAGGAGAAAUAAUUUUAUUAAUUAAAAUAAGGUUUGUAAGGUAAAUAAAAUAAAUAUAUGUCCUUAGAAAGUAAAAAGGAUGUUUUAUUUAUUAAUUUGAUAUAAAUUAAAAUAAAAUUCCUUUUUAUAAAAUAAAUAUAUGCUCUUUUAAGAUUUUAACAUAUUUUUUUUUACACACUAUUUUCUAUUAGUUGAAAUUAAUUAUUUUGUCUCCAUUUUUAUUUAUAAGACUUUUAAAAUAAUAUUUAUUCUGUUUUAUAAAACUCAAUCUAUAAUAUUCCGUACUUAUUUAAAAAUUGGGUAGCAUGAAAUGGUAUGGAUACGGUGACAAAUAAUUAACAUUAACAAUGGCAAAUUCAGUGCUGGCAUACACGUUCAGCUUUCUCUGAAACUAGCGCUGGUCAUAUCUAGCAUGUGUUUUAAAGACAAGUGGAUGAUACUUCAACCAGCGCUGUUCGUAUUAGUUGGUUCAACAAUAAUGGCAUAUUUCAAUACAUUGGAAUAAAUAACUACUUUAUAAAUUAACAAUAAAAAUAUUGGAAGAAACUGCAGUGUCCUUGGCUAGACUAAAAUGGCAGAAACUGCAGUGUCCUUGGCUGGUCAGCAUGCGCUUCCAAAAAUAUUGGAAGCUGUCAAAAUGCUGAGAGAUCUCCCAAAAGAAGUUAGAGACAUUACAGAUGAACUUGAAAGCUUUCAAGAUUUCAUCAAUGAUGCUGAUAAAGUGGCUGAAGCUGAACAAGAUGAUGGAAGGCGUCAUAGAAUAAAAGAAAGGGUGAUGCGGCUGAGAGAAACAGCUUUUCGCAUGGAAGAUGUCAUCGAUGAAUAUAACAUCUCCUGUGAGGAUAAGCAACCUGAUGAUCCUCCAUGUGCAGCUUUACUAUGUGAGGCUGUUGACUUCAUCAAAACUCCAAUCCUUCGCCUUCAAAGUGCGUACAAGAUUCAGGAUGUUAAAUCCCUUGUUCGUGCUGAAAGAGAUGGUUUCCAAAGCCAUUUUCCUUUAGAGCAAAGACAAACCAGUUCUAGAGGAAAUCAAGAUAUCACAUGGCAGAAACAUAGAAGGGAUCCUCUCUUUAUCGAGGAAGAUGAGGUUGUGGGGCUUGAUGGCCAUAGAGGUAUAUUGAAAAAUUGGUUGACAAAGGGAAGAGAAAAACGCACUGCCAUCUCUGUGGUGGGAAUUGCAGGGGUGGGAAAAACCACUCUUGCCAAGCAAGUUUAUGACCAGGUGCGUAACAAUUUCGAGUGCCAUGCGUUGAUCACAGUUUCUCAAUCCUUCUCUACUGAAGGAUUGCUGAGGCACAUGUUGAAUGAGCAUUGCAAAGAAAAAAAGGAGGACCCUCCCAAGGAUGUUUCUACCAUCGAGUCGUUGACAGAAGAAGUCAGAAACCGCUGGCGCAACAAGAGGUAUGUUGUCUUGUUUGAUGACGUAUGGAAUGGAAAAUUUUGGGAUCACAUUGAAUCUGCUGUAAUUGAUAAUAAAAAUGGAAGUAGGAUAUUAAUCACAACCAGGGAUGAGAAGGUUGCAGAAUAUUGUAGGAAAUCAUCAUUUGUUGAGGUGCAUAAGCUAGAAAAACCUUUAACUGAAGAAGAAUCUUUGAAAUUGUUCUGUAAGAAGGCAUUUCAGUAUAGUUCCGAUGGAGAUUGUCCAGAAGAACUUAAAGAUAUAUCUCUUGAAAUUGUUAGAAAGUGUAAAGGUUUACCUCUAGCAAUAGUGGCCAUUGGUGGUCUUUUGCCUCAAAAAGAUGAAAGUGCACCUGAAUGGGGACAAUUUUGUCGAGAUCUAAGUUUAGACUUGGAGAGGAAUUCUGAGUUAAAUAGUAUAACAAAAAUUUUAGGUUUAAGUUAUGAUGAUUUGCCAUUCAAUCUCAGAUCAUGUUUAUUGUAUUUCGGAAUGUAUCCGGAGGACUAUGAAGUUCAAUCUGAUAGACUGAUUAGACAGUGGAUAGCUGAAGGGUUUGUCAAACAUGAAACCGGAAAAACAUUGGAAGAAGUUGGGCAACAAUAUUUAUCAAGGUUGGUCCGUAGAAGUUUGGUGCAAGUAUCCUCAUUUAGAAUUGAUGGCAAAGUUAAAAGGUGUCGUGUUCAUGACUUAAUACACGACAUGAUCCUUAGAAAAGUCAAGGAUACAAGGUUUUGUCAGUAUAUUGACGGGCGUGAUCAAUUUGUAUCAAGUAAGAUUGUUUGACGCCUGACAAUUGCAACCGAUGAUUUUGUUGGUAGUUGAUUAGAUGAUAGUUGAUAAUUUUAGAGAAUUGUUUUAGAAAGAAGGCUAUGUCAUUGAUUUCUUGAAUGAUCAAUUACAACAUUCCAAUUGCCUAUUUAUAGGCUCAAGUCACCAACCUCUCAAUGGUGGUGAAUGUUUCUACAUUACUUUAGGUCUUUCUAGAGUUUUCAUGAUAGAUUAGUAUCAUGAUAGUUCUAGAUUCUUCUAUCUUAUACAUACACUUAUGAUUCUAGAUUGUUCUACCAUAUUCAUACACGUUAUAGGUCUAGAUUGUUCUAUCAUAUUCAUACACAUUAUAGUUCUAGGAUAUUCUACUAUUUUCAUACAUAUUAUAUUUAAGAAUAUUCUAGAAAUUUGUAGCAAUUUCAACACUCCUCCUUGAUGCAAAUUUCUGUGACUCCGAGCAUAGCUCGUAAUUCUUCAAAUCUUGGUCUUGGCAAAGCCUUCGUGAAUAUGUCUGCAAUUUGAUCUUCUGUUCUGCAAUAGUCGAGUUUGAUCUCUUUAGUUGCUUCAGCUUCUCUGAUAAAGUGAUACUUGAUUGCUAUGUGUUUUGUUCUGCUGUGAUAAACUGGAUUCUUCGCCAUUGCAAUUGUUGAUUUGUUGUCGCAGUUGAUUUUAGUAGGCUCAUCUUGUUUUUCUCCCAUGUCUUCAAGUAUCCUACGAUGCCAUAUAGCUUGACUCGUUGCUUCAGCAGCUGCCACGUACUCUGCUUCUGUUGUUGAUUGUGCUACUGUAGCUUGCUUCUUCAACGCCCAAGAGAACAUUCCCGAUCCUAGUGAGAAAGCAUAGCCAGAGGUACUCUUCAUGUCAUCUGCCGAACCUGCCCAAUCACUGUUGGUGUAGCCAAGUAAUUCUGAGUUGGUUUCGGUAGUAUACCAUAUACCGAACUCUUUUGUUCCUUGUAGAUACCUCAAAAUUCUUUUUCCUGCUCCAAAGUGUAUUUGACUUGGGCUUUGCAUGAAUCUUGAUAGAAGACUUGUAGCAUACAUUAUGUCAGGCCGUGUAGCUGUCAAAUAUAGGAGGCUUCCAAUUAGACUUCGGUAUUUGGAUGCAUCAGCUUUUGGUGCUCCAUCAUUCUUCUGUAGUUUCUCAUUUGUUAUGAGUGGAGUAGCAACAGGUUUGCAACCAUACAUCUUGAAUUUCUUAAGUAAGCCUUCUGUGUAUUUCUUUUGCGAGAUGAAUAUCCCUUCAUUUCUCUGACUUACCUCUAUGCCGAGGAAGUAACUCAUCAAACCAAGGUCGGUCAUCUCAAAGGUCUUCAUCACGUCUUCUUUAAACUCCAUCAUCAUCUUAGUAUUGUUUCCCGUGUAGAUAAGAUCAUCUACAUAUAGAGAGAGUAAGAGAGUGCACUGCCCUUGAGACUUGAUGUAAAGUGUAGGCUCACUCUUACUCCUCCUGAAUCCUCGAUCCAUGAAAUACUGAUCGAUUUUGCUAUACCAUGCUCGAGGUGCUUGCUUCAAACCGUAGAGUGCUUUUCUUAGUCUUAACACUUUGUUUUCUUUGCCUUCAGACACGAAUCCUUGUGGCUGAUCCACAUAGAUCUCUUCUACAAGUACGCCGUUAAGGAAGGCGGAUUUGACAUCUAGUUGAUGGAUACUCCAUCCUUUUUGUGAUGCAAGAGCUAUUAGAGCUCUUAUGGUAUCAAGACGAGCUACUGGUGCAAAUGUCUCAUUGUAGUCAAUUCCGGGUUGCUGUGAGUAACCCUUAGCUACUAGCCUAGCCUUGUGUUUAUGUAUGGUGCCAUCAGGGUUGAGCUUUGUCUUAUAGACCCACUUAACCCCAAUGAUAUCUUUUCCAUGGGGACGAUUUACUAACUCCCAUAUGUUGUUUUUCUCGAUCAUUUGUAUCUCUUCUUCCAUUGCCUUGACCCAUACUUCCUGCUUUGACGCUUCUUCAAAGCUUCCAGGUUCAAGUAUGGCCAAGUUACAGGUUUCAUAUAUGUCCACCAAAGAUCUUACUCGUCUUGGAGUAGACUCUGGUGAUGAUAGUUCUUGAUCUUGUUGUUGUGGUGGAGGUGAAGGUGGUUCACCUGGGUCUUCUUCCUCAGCUUCUUCUUGAGGUAGUUGAGUGGGUAUAAGAAUGUUUUUCUCCACUUUUUCUUUAUCUUUAUCCCAAUUCCAAGAAGCAUACUCAUCAACUUCAACAUCUCGAUUGACGAUGAGUUUCUUAGUUUGCAAGUUGUAGACACGGUAGCCCUUAGAGAUAUUGCUAUACCCAAGGAAGAUACCUCGUAUAGUCUUGUCUUCAAGCUUGUGCCUCUUCACGUCUGGAAUAUGAAUGUAGCAUAUAGAUCCAAAGACCCUUAGGUGCUUUGCUGAUGGCUUCUUCCCGUUCCAAGCUUCAAUUGGAGUCUUGUCUUUUACAGACUUAGUUGGACAUCUGUUGAGUAUGUAAACUGCAGUGUAGACUGCUUCAGCCCAGAAUGUGUUAGGUAGUCCCUUUUCCUUGAGCAUCGAUCUAGCCAUCUCCAUAACUGUGCGAUUCUUUCUCUCGGACACUCCAUUUUGUUGAGUAGAAUAUGCGACUAUAAGUUGUCGCUCAAUGCCUUCAUCCUCACAAAAUCUUUCAAACUCGCGAGAGGUGUACUCUUUGCCGCGAUCACUUCUUAGUACUUUUAUCUGUUUUCCACUUUGAUUUUCAGCAAGGGCCUUGAACUUUUUGAAUACUCCAAAGACUUCUGAUUUUUCUUUUAGAAAAUAUACCCAUGUCAUUCUAGAGAAGUCAUCAAUGAAGAGUAUGAAGUACCUGUUGUUCUCAUGUGAUGGCGUCCUCAUUGGUCCACAGACGUCCGUAUGUAUCAGCUCCAAUAGAUCUUUCACUCUCCAUGCUCCGCUUGUUGAGAAAGGAAAUCGGUGUUGCUUACCAAGGAGACAUCCUUCACACACUUCAUUGUUCUCUUUUAUGCUUGGAAGAUCUCUCAUCAUGUUCUUCUCAUGUAACAACUUCAAGGCAUGUGUGUUGAAGUGGCCAAAUCUUCGAUGUCAUAGCCAUGAAUCAUCAACUUGUACCUUCAUGGAAAUGUUUGUUGCAUAUUUUAAAUUUAGAGGGAAGCUUCUAUUGCUCUUAUUCAUCUUUACUUGGGCUAUCUCAGACCUUUUAUUUUUGUUGUUUAAGAUUUUGCAUACACCUCCUUCAAAGUGAAGUGUGUAGCCUCUCUCCAUCAUUUGGCCAAUGCUUAGAAGAUUUUCUAUUAGGCUGGGAACUAGUAAGACAUCAUGGAUGAGUCACGUACCUUUAUCUGUCUCCACCAUGACAGUGCCUUUGCCUUUUGAUUCAACCACACUUCCAUUUCCCAGUCGAACUUUGACUUUGACAGACUCAUCAAUACUUUUGAAAAUAGUCUCAUCGUUGGCCAUGUGAUUGCUACAUCCACUAUCCAAGUACCAGUUUCCUCCCUUUUCUUUUAUUGAGUCUUGAGUGGCGUAGAAUGUACAUUGUUCUUGAUCAUGCUCCUCUGUGAUAUUGGCUUGAUGCCUAUUUUUGUUGCGACAAUUUUUCUCUACAUGCCCGAACUUCUUGCAAUGGUUGCAUUGUGGCAUAUUACGGAACCAACAAUUUUUCUCUGCAUGGCCUUGCCUUUUGCAUAUAUUGCAUGGAGGAUUUUUAUCUAUUUUGUUCUUAAGGAAAUUCCUAGAACCUUCUCUUCUUCUGGAAGUUUCUCCAUAAUUUUUCUUUCCUCCAUUUUCUUUGUUUUGGGGCUGAAAUUUAUGGAAGGCAUUUUCAAUUGUAUCUUCUUUAUGCCUAUACAGUCUUUGCUCAUAUGCUUCAAGAGAGCCCGCAAGUUCUGUCUCUGAUAGAGUGGACAGAUCUUUGGUUUCUUCAAUCGUUGUCACGAUUGGGUCAAACUUUUGGGGCAUAGUAAUUAAAAUUUUCUCAACAAUUUUCUUGUCAAGAAUAUCUUCCCCAAAAGCUCUCAUUUGAUUAACUAUUUCUUUAACUUUAGAAUAGUAAUCUUUAACUGUCUCAGACUCCUUCAUCUUCAAUAGUUCAAAAUCUCUUCUUAGAGAUUGAAGUUUAACGACACGUACCUUAACACUUCCUUGAAACUCCUCCUGCAAUGUGUUCCACGCUUCUUUGGCAGUCUUAGCUCCCAUAAUUCUUGGAAAAAUUGGAUCAGUCACCGCUUGUUGCAAGGUGAACAACGCCUUUGAAUUUUUCUGUUUAUUUUUCUUCAACUCUUUUUCUUGAGAUGCAUUAAGAGCUGAAGUAUCCGCAGGAAUGGUGAAGCCUUCUUCUACUAUGUCCCAUAAAUCUUGAGAUAAAAAAUAUGUUUCCAUUUUAACACGCCAGAAAUCAUAAUUUUCACCAUUGAAGAUAGGGACAAAAAUAGUUGACGAUUGAGUAGUGUUAUCCAUAGCUUAGAAAAAAAUAUUAUUAGAGUGGGUUAAUAGUACAAAGAAAAUUUUCGAAGUAGUUGGGAGGAUUUUGGAAUGGUAGGUAGGUAAUAUAACUACGCCCAAUGUAUGACCGAACGUAGCUCUGAUACCACUGUUGGUAGUUGAUUAGAUGAUAGUUGAUAGUUGAUAAUUUUAGAGAAUUGUUUUAGAAAGAAGGCUAUGUCAUUGAUUUCUUGAAUGAUCAAUUACAACAUACCAAUUGCCUAUUUAUAGGCUCAAGUCACCAACCUCUCAAUGGUGGUGAAUGUUUCUACAUUACUUUAGGUCUUUCUAGAGUUUUCAUGAUAGAUUAGUAUCAUGAUAGUUCUAGAUUCUUCUAUCUUAUACAUACACUUAUGAUUCUAGAUUGUUCUACCAUAUUCAUACACAUUAUAGUUCUAGAUUGUUCUACCAUAUUCAUACACAUUAUAGUUCUAGGAUAUUCUACUAUUUUCAUACAUAUUAUAUUUAAGAAUAUUCUAGAAAUUUAUAGCAAUUUAAACAGAUUUUAGUGGAAGUAUAGGAAGCUCACCCAUUCGGUCAAUUUUUAUUAGCACAGGAGAAGAUGAAGCAGUAUCUGAACCCUUAGUAAACAAAAUCCCUACCAAUUACAUGCUAUUGAAGGUACUUGAUUUUGAAGGUUCUGGUUUACGUUAUGUUCCUGAAAAUUUGGGAAUUUAUGCCACUUGAAGUAUUUAAGCUUCCGGUAUACACGGAUAGAAAGUCUACCAAAAUGCAUUGGUAAGCUCCAGAAUUUGGAGACCUUGGAUACAAGAGGCACAAAUGUGUUUGAGAUGCCAGAGGAGAUUAGUAAGCUUAAAAAGCUACGUCAUCUUCAGGCUUCUGAUAUGAUCAUGGGUUCAAUAUGGAGGAAUAUUGGAGGCAUGACAUCCCUAGAAGAGAUACCUCUAGUGUUUAUAGAUGAUGAUGGAGUGGUCAUUAGAGAGGUAGGAAAGCUAAAGCAGUUAAGGGAACUGAAGGUGGUAGAAUUAAGGGGAAAACACGAGACGACUUUGUGUUCCGUAAUAAAUGAGAUGCCACUCUUGGAGAAACUACGUAUUUAUACAGCUGAUUCGAGUGAAGUAAUUGACUUGUACAUUACGUCACCUAUGUCUACACUUAGGAAGCUUGUCCUAAGUGGGACAUUAACAAGGUUGCCAAAUUGGAUUUCACAGUUCCCAAAUCUUGUGCAUCUGCGUUUGCGCGGCUCCAGGUUGACUAAUGAUGCAUUGAAAUCACUAAAAAAUAUGCCAAGGUUGUUGUUCCUCGAUUUAAGUUACAAUGCUUAUGAAGGUGAAACUUUGAAUUUUCAAAGUGGAGGGUUUCAGAAACUAAAGCGACUGCUACUCGGAUAUUUGGAUCAAUUGAAGUGCAUCCUUAUCGACAGAGGAGCACUGUGUUCUUUGGAAGUAUUUUCUUUACGAGACCUCUCCCAACUCAAAACAGUACCCUCUGGAAUUCAACACUUGGAGAAGCUUAAAGAUCUCUAUAUCGAGUUCAUGCCAACUAAAUUUGAGCAGUGCAUUGCUCCUGAUGGAGGAGAAGACCACUGGAUCAUCCAAGAUGUGCCCCAUGUACGUAUUUGGAGCAGGGAUGCUGAAGAACUUUCGCAUAUAUUCGGCAGAAGUCAUCACUAAGAUGUGCCCAAAUUUGAAAAAGAAGGUGCGUCUUUUUCACAUCUAUAACUUUGUAGAAUGACAUUCGUGGCCUUUUUCUUUUCUUCAAUAAAAAAUGCAACCAUUAUCUAAUGUUUUCGACGUUCCAAUCAUGUGGUUUUUUGAGUGUUAAUUAUUACGCCCAUUUUAGCGUUAUUAACACCAACACAAUACAAAGAAGCUGAAAAUAGUGUUCCUACAAAGGCAGACAAUUUUUGACAACAGGAAAACUCAAGAUUCCCUCAAGUUCUUUCUUUUGCGGCUCGUGAAAUGGUGGAUGCAUGAGUGGAUUUGAGGCAUCAAAUUGAUUUUUUAAGCUUCCUUCUUCUCUUUCUCUUGUUUCCCUUUUUUCUAAAAUGUGUACUCAAAUUUUUGUUAACUUGAUGUAAUUUGAAUUCUUAUCUAUAAUUCAAGUUCAUUUCUUUUAAAUUGAUUGUUUGCCUUUGUUUUAAUUUAAUGCCUUUAUAAAUUGGCAUUUGGUUACUUAUAGUAACUUGAUCGUAUAUUCUUGUCUACAACUGUGAAAUUGAAAUAAGAAUUGAAUUUAAGGUAUAAUGCAACAAGAUUGGAGAUUCUAUAGUAAUAAAUAUCAACAAUUACGCUAAUUUAGGGUGUGUUUGAUUUGUAUUUUUAUUUUCUGUUUUCAUUUUCUGAAAACUGUUUUCAUUUUCAAAAGAUUAGAAUUCUGAAAAUAUGUUUGGUUUGACUUCUUGUUUUCUAUUUUUAGGAAAUAAAAACAUUGAAAAUUUAUGAUAUAUUGACGUCUUGUCAUUUUUGUAUUUUUAGAUUUGCUUAAAAUUACAUUUCUUGUCAUCGCAUUUUCAUUUUUCCCAAAAUGAGGUUCCUGUUUUCAACUGAAAACACUGAAAAUGAAAUUUUAUUGUUUUCAUUUUUUGGUUUUUUUCUGUUUUCAUUUUUACUGAAAACGUUUUCAAAAAUCCAACCAAACAUAUUUUCAUCACCAUUUUCCGCUUUAGUAAAAAUGAAAACAGAAAACAGUCAAACCAAACACCCCCUUAGAUAUUCUUGAACCUAAUGAUUACCUUAAUUGAGAAAUUCUAAAGAUUUAGAAUUUUCAAUUGCGGAAGAGUUUUUGAGUUAAGAUAUAUUCACCUUCAAUUACAAUAGUAAAUAAUAAAUUCAGUUUCCAAUAUGCUUCUAGAACUUGAAUUGGAGUGAAAAUUUGGGUUGUACAUGUUAAGCUUGGGGUGAACUUGUACAAUAACAAGACAUGUUAGAUUUUGACUUAGCACUUUAAUCCUCUUAGCAUAGUGCUUCAGCAAUUUUGGUACCCAAACUUUUAUGUUCAGGUUUGAUCCCAUAUUUUUCAAAAAAAAAAUAAUGGUUGAAUAUAUGUUAUUAAAAUCAAUUUAUAUAUCACUUAUCUGGAGUAUGAUAAAUUUUUCAAGGCUUAAUUUUAUCUUUUUGUCUCAUUCAUUAUUUAUUUUAUUUAAUUUUAUCCUCCUAAUAAUAAAAUCUUUAAUUUGAUUGCUUAAUUCCAAAUUGAUUCAAUUUGGUCUCUUUGGUCCAAAUUCACUUGACGUUGUUUAUUAAUAGUGGGAUGAGAUUGAAUCAAAUAAAGGAACAAAUUAAAUUGUUUAUUAAAAUUGAAAAAAAAAUGAAAAAACAGUGAGAAAAAGAAGUUUAUUAAGGGGUCAAAUUGCACCGUUUUGAAAAUUAAAGUACUAAAUUAAAUUGUUUAUUAAUAGAGAACCAAUGCUAAAUAAAUAAAUAGCACGACAAAAAAGUAGGAUUUUUUUUUUACUUUCAGAAAAUUUGAAAAUUUUAUUGAAUUCUAAAAUAUUCAAUUAACUUGCCUAGUUUUUUGUUUAUUCACUCUUUUUUUUUCCUUUUAAUCCUUGAUGUUUGAAAACUUCAAAAUUCUUUUUGAUCACAAACAUAUUUUAACUCUCAUAAAAAAACAAAACAAUGUUUUCUAAAAUUGGACUGUUAUAAGUUAUUGAUAAAUCACUUUCUGAGUGAUAUUUUAUACAAAAUUUUGUGUUAUUUUAUAUGCAUUUUCUUGAUACGAUUCAUAUUUGAACAUUAGUUUUGUAUUCGAGAAGUAUAAUUACUCAAUUGAGUGAAAGAGUAAGAAAUUAUACAAAUUUAUGAAGAUUUAAGAACUUUACAUAACUUGAUUACUACUGUGGUAUAUUGAUCACGAUCGUGAUAAUCAGCAUGAUCACAAUAAAGUGAUAAUAGUCAUCCCUAAUGUUUUUAUAAUAAAAAUGUGAUAUUGAUUUAAAUGUUUAUUUAAUCUCACAUAAAUCAUUUAAAGAAAUAGUUAGACCUAAAAUCAAAAUAUAAAUAUAAAUAACACCAAAAAUAAAAAAUUAAAUAGAUGAAUUUUUAAUAAUUAUAAAUAUAGAUUUACCUUAUAUCUUAUCAAUCAAAAAGAGUUAAAUUCACUACAACUUUUAUUGGUACAACUAACACUACUUACAAUUACAAUAAACAUUGUUUUAUCACAUUUACAUAUUAGGAAGAUCAGAAAUUCACGUGAUGUUGUAGUAGAACAAAAAUAAGGAGACAAAAUCACUAACAUGUUCACAAAAAUAUUUAGAAUUAGCUAAGGUUUUAGUUUUUAAAUUUUUUUAAAUUUGAUUUUAAUCACUAAAUUCUUGUUUGACUAGUCAAAAAAUUUUAAAAUUUUAAUUUUAGGUUCUUGAAUAAAAAAAUUAAAUCUAUUAUUUUUAUUAAUUUAAUAAGUUUUUAAUAAUUAUAAAUCAAUUUUUUAAAAGUUUGGAAAUUAAAAAUCUUAAUGAAAAAAAGUCGAGAGACAUUGACCCGUCAAUUAAAAAUGUAGGAACUAAAAAUCUUGAUAAAAAAAAGUUGAAAGAUCUUGAUGAAUAGAAAAGAAAAUUUAAAAAUUAAAAACUAAAUUUUGAAAAAGUAUAGUAAUAAUUAGCCCAAAUAUUUAAGAGAGAUGCUCGAAUCUCAAAGUCUUCUUAUCAAAUCUCAAGGUAGACGUUGCACUAAUUUUUUUGUAAACACUAGCAUGGAUAAAAAAUAUGAUGUCAAUUUGAUGUAGAUAAAAGUAUGUCGUAAUAAAAAAAUCAUAUUAAGUGUGUAUAUCAAUUUUUAAAAUAAUUAUUAUAAAAGUUGAUGAUUAAAUUUAUUAUAUAUAUACCAUUUUUUAUUAAAUGAGAGUGUAAAGUCUUAUAUUUUCGCAUUAACUAUAUCUUGCUUCUACAAAACAUUUAUUCUUAGCCAAUUUAUCACCAGAAGACUCUUUGUAAGCAUCUUUUAGUAGUAUUAAAGUCUCUAGGAAAAUUUUCAUUCAGUAUUUUAAUGACAACUAGGUGAUCCUCGAUCCUGCGAAAAAUAGGAAAGUAAAUUUUGUUUUUCUAAAUUAAAGACCAACAAAAUAGAUCGAAAAUUUCCAUUUUUGAAAGAAAAAAAGAGAGUAAAUUUUAAAGCUUAGAGUAAACCAUAUGCAAUGAUAAGAAGGAUACACCAGCCUGUAUAUAGCUUUUAAAAAACUGGUUAACCUAGUUAAAAAAAAAAAAAAAAAACUGUUCCUGUGGAUCAGCAUUUAAUUUCUUGCUCAUCAUAUAACAUUAUUAUUGCCAGCAUGGAUUAGAUCAAAUCAGGUGGCUGACCUAUUCAACGGCAAUUCAUCAUCUCAGACCAGUUUCAAGAUCAAUCCUCAAAAUGAUGAAUUGUGUAAUCGGCGCAAACUAAAACACUAGAGCCAAAUGAAUAAUCAAAAUUAUAUAUAUAUAUAUAUAUAUAUAUAUAUAUAUAUAUACCUGCAAGGUAAAUACUUUGACAAGUGUAAGAUAUUUUAUUUAAAUUUUAUCGGUACAAUAACACUCACAAAUACAUUUGACAUUGUUUAAUUAAUCACAUUUAUUUACAAUUAACUAGAUAGCAAAUUCACAACUUGCUAUAGUACGACAAAAAUAAAGGGAAAAAUAUCACAACUUGCUCAUAGUAUAUUUAAGAUAGAUGAUGCUGAAAAGAUCAAAGUCUUCCUCUCGACAGAUGUGAUAAAUUUUUUGUAUAACACUUAUGGGUACAAAAUUUAUAACACUAAUAUGCUAUAGAUAAAGGAGAUGUAUUCGAGAAAACCUGAUGGCCAGAAAAGUUAAUCAUAUCUGUAUAAUUAUGCAGAUUAUUAUUUUACUUAAAAUUAAUUUUAUAUUUAUUGUAUUUGUACAAUUAAGAUUAAUUAAUCGUGCGUGAGGCUAACAAGAGUUGACACAUUUGAUGGAGACUUUUGUCCACACUUGCUAUAACUUGACAGUCUUCCUUGACUUUACAAGAGGUGGCAUGGCUUCCCCUAUUGUAAUUUUUCACCUCAAAAAUAGGAUGAAUAGUACAUGAGAACAUCAUCUUACACAGCUUACUGGAUAUAAAAAAAGGCAAUAUGAAAAUAUACAAUAUAUUAUAAUAAAGUUUGUGCCAAUGUGUGUCAUCGUGUGUGGCUAACAUGCAAUCAAUACAUUGAUCGAAUGGAGAAAAAAAGGUCAUAAUCAUAAUAAGAAAAAUAUUAGAGCAUGUUCUUUUAAGACUUUAACAUGGUCUUUUUUACACACUGUUUUCUAUUAGUUGAAAUUGAUUAUUCUUUUCCUGUUCCUAUUUAUAAGACUUUUAAAAUAAUGCUUAUUCUUUUUUUAUAAAAUUUAAUUUAUAAUAUUUUUUACAUUCAAUUAUUUUUAAACUAAAUAUGCAUCAUUAAAAAAAUAAAAAAAUAUAUUAACAAACCAUUAGACGAGAGAAAAUUUUAAUGACAAAAAUAAUUUUAAAAAAUAAUAUAAAUGUAAGACAAACUUAUUAUUAUGAAUUAAAUUAGUAUCUUUCUUUAAUCAUAAUAAAUUAGGUAAUUGCAUGGAGGGACUAAAAAUCAUAAAAUUGAAUGAAUUUCAUCGGUUCUUAUUCAAAGGACCUUAUUCAUGAUUUUUCAUUUUUAACAAAUUUCAACCAAUAUGAAAUUGUGCUAGAAAGUGUAAUGCCAACAUUUAAAACUUUAUGUUGUAAUACUAAUUUUAAGUGCUAAUCAUGAGUAGGUUUGCUUUAUGAAAGAAAAGUAAUAUUUCCUUUCGUUUCAAAUAUAAGAAAAAAAUUAUUUUUACUCUCAAAUAUAAGAAAAUUAGUAUUAAUUAAAUUUAUUUUAUUUAAUGUUAUUAUCUCUAAAAUAUCUUUCAUUUAAUUGAUAUCUUUUUCAUUUUUUAUUUUUUUAACACAAAGUUCCAAUGAAUGAUAAGUUGAGAAAAAGUUAGUUUUAAUUAAAUGUGGUUAACUAAUUUUCUUAAUUAGAAAAAAUGAGUAUUUUCUUUGAUAAAUGCCAACUAGUAUCCUUAACACAUUAGGUAAACAACUUAAAGUAGAAAUAUUUUAAUGGAAGAGAAAAUUACGCUGCUCAUGAUUUUUUUGCAUUCUCUUAUAAUUUUUAUGGUGAAUAUUUUCUUCUUUUAGUUUCUUAACUAGUGUUCUUUUCUUCUUUUAGUUUCUUAACUAGUGCUCUUAGGGCACAAGUUUAGCAAGACCAUUUUUCUUAUAUUUGAGAUCCAACAGAGUAUGAACUUUACAGGUUUUUGUGCAAUUGGUCCGAAUUUAGAUUAAAUUAAAAUUAAAUCCUAAUGAGUCGUGUUGAAUAUAUUAUAUAUUGGUUAUAUUUGAAUUUUUUAAAAAUAAAUCAUUCUAUUGUCAUUUAAAAUUUUUAUCUCCACUAAGUGUUGAUUUUUUAUUAUCUAAAACUGUAAGCAAAUGAAUAUAUUAGAGAAUCAAACAAACUGUAAUUGGAUAUUCAUGUUUGAAGUAAAAAAAAAAAAGAGAACUAAUUAAUCAAACCAAUUUGAAUCAAAAUAAUUGAUUUGAUUUAGAUGGUGUGUUUAUCAAGUCAAUUUGAUCAAUGCUCCUAAAAUGAAGAAAACAAGUGAAAAAAAGAGGGAAAAGAAGUUUAAAAUGACACAAUUUGUUAGGUUUUCUUUUUCGGUUGUUACUAUAUUAUAGGUGUAAAAGUAAUCUAUCAACUUUGUCAAUCAAUAUUUCUGUUAGAGAGUGUGAUUCGUACACCAUUAAUGAUUGUUUGUUCAUCUUGUAUUUAAUUCUGUAGUAAAUAAAAAAUAAAAGUUAUAUAUACUCAAAAUAAGACGUAUAUAUACUAAAAACGAUAGUCUUAUAUAGUCCGUCUUGAUGUUCCUCCGUUUUCUCGGAAAAUAAAACAAAGCUUGAAAGAUUGGCCGCUUGAAUUGAUAUUGCACUGUAUCUGUUUAACAAGUUGUACUUUAAACAUUAAACUGUUUUUUUAUGAUAUAUUCACAAACAUAUUUGUCUUUUUUAUUCGUUUAAACUUUGUAGUUGCAGAGUUCAGAUGUAUAUUGUUAAGCAAAUAAGUUGGUAACGGAAGUAUGAGCCUAAAGCUACAGAGCCAAUAGAACAAGCAAAUAUUAAUUUAUUCCAAACAGGCAAUUAAGUUGACAAGCAGGGCCGUCUAAUUUUGUUGGUAAAACUAAUACCGACAAACAUCAUUAUUUGAAUCGAAUAAUUAGUUUUCAUACUUAUUUAAAAACUGGGUAGCGUGAUAUGGUAUGGAUACGGUAACAAUUAACAUUAGCAAUGGCAAAUUCAGUGCUGGCAUGCACGUUGUGUCUGAAACUAGCGCGGGUCAUAUCUAGCAUGUGUUUUUUAGAAGGAUUCCACGGAUUCGUUUCAAGGUCCCGCAAUUGAGGAAUAAAUGACAAUCCUAAUCGCUAAUUGACCCAAGAAAACUGCUAUCUUCCAAGCAAACUCGUUUGAUUCGAUCUAGACUAAGUUAACACAAGUUUAGUCUGCGUGUCUACUGAGUCUUGUCUCAAUAUGCUAAAAAUGAGUUUGAAUACUAUUAAUUUAACCCGCAUGAAUCAAAUAGACUAUUAAACUCAUAUGAAUAGUAUGUGAAAAUAGACUUGUGAGUUAACAGAGUUUAGUUUGAGUGUCUAGUGAGUCUUGUCUCAAUAUGCUAAAAAUGAGUUUGAAUAGUAUUUAACCUGCAUAAAUCAAAUAAACUCUUAAACUCACAUGAAUAGUAACUGAAAAUAUAAUCUUACAGACCACUGGUUAUAAAAAAGGCAAUAUGAAUAGUAUGUGAGAACAUUAUUUUACAUACUAAUGGGAUAUAAAAAAUGGCAAUAUGAAAAUAUACAAGAUAUUAUAAUAAAAUUUGUGAUUAUGUGUGUCAUCGUGUGUGACUAACAUGCAAUCCAUCCAUUGAUCGAAUGAAGAAAAACAUCGUAAUCAUAAUAAGAGAAAUAUUGACAGCGUGCUCUUUUAAGACUUUAACAUAUUCUUUUUUACAUAUUGUUUUUUAUUAGUUGAAAUUAAUUAUUCUCUCCUUGUUCCUAAUUAUAAGACUUUUAAAAUGAUAUUUUUUUUUAUAAAGCUCAAUUUACAAUGUUUCUUAGAUUAAUUAUUUUUAAACUAAAAAUAUUUAUUAUUAAAAGAAAAAAAUAUAUAUUUACAAAUCAUUAGACGAGAAAGAAAUAUUAAUGACAGAUUUUUUUUUUUUGAAAAAGAUUAUAAAUGUAAAACAAACUUAUUAUUAUUAAUUAAAUUAGUCACUUUUUUUUAAAAUUUUAAUUAAUCAGGUAAUGUGAUCAUGUAUACAAGAACAGAGAGAGAGUACAAAUCAUAAAACUGUAUAUAUUUCAUCACUUCUUAUUUAAUGGGCCUUAUUCAUGAUUUUUGUUUUUAGUUUUAACAAAUUUCAACCAAUAAGAAUGUAUGCUAGAAAUGGCCAACAGUCAAAACUUUGUGUGGUAAUACUAAUUUUAAGGGCUAACCAUAAUUAGGUUUUCUUUAUGAAAGAAAAGUAAUACUUCCUUUAUAAGAUAAAAUUUAUUUUUUUAGUUUCAAAUAUAAGAAAAUUUCAAGUAAAUUUAUUUUAUUUAAUGUUAUUAUCUCUUAAAUAUCCUUCAUUUAAUUGAGGUUUUUUUUCAAUGAUUUUUUAUGUUUAAUAUCAAGUUCAAAUGAAGGAUAUGUUGAAAAAAAAAUUAAUUGAGAUUGAUGAAUUAAAUGUGAUUCAUUAACUUUCUUGGUUAGUACAAAUAAAUAUUUUGAGACUGGAGGGAGGGAGUAUGAAUUUUACAAGUUUUUGUGCAAUUGGUCAAAAUUUAGAGUAAAUUAAAAUUAAAUCCUAACCAGUCAUAUCCAAUUAUAUAUUCGUUAUAUUUAAAAUUUUAAAAAAAUAAAUCAAUCUGUUUUCUUUGAAGUUUUUAUCUCUACUAAGUGUUGAUUUUUAUGAUUUUAAACUUUAUGUUAAUGCAAGGAAAAAAUGAUAAAUUAGAGAAUAAAAUAAAUUGUAAUUUUUUAAAGCAAAAGAAUAUAGUAGAGAAUCAAAGAAACUGUAAUCGGAUAUUCAAAUUAGAAGUAAAAAAAACUAAUUAAUCGAACCAAUUUGAAUCAAAAUAAUUGAUUUUAUUUAGAAUGUUGAGUUUAUGAUCAAGUCAAUUUGAUCAAUGCUCCUAAAAUGAAGAAAAUAAAUGAAAAAUAAGAGUAAAAAAAGAAGUAUAAAAUGACCUAAUUUCUUAGGUUUUUUUUUUGUUGUUAUUAUAUUAUAGAUGCAAAGUAAUCUAUCAAUUUUACCAACAAAUAAUUUAUGUUAGAGAAUCUGAUUUGUUCAUCUUUAGUGAUUUUUUUAUGAGAGAAAAAAUUAAAAAAAGAAUCUUUAUUUUAUAUUUAAUUAUGUAGAAAAUUUUAAAAACAAAAGUUAUAUAUACUCAAAAUAAGAAGUAUAUUCACAGAGAUUGUCUUUUCUAUUCGUUUAAACUUUGUAGUUGCUGAGUUCAGAUGUUAUUGUUAAGCAAAUAAAUUGUUGACGGAAGUAUGAGCCUACAGCAUCAGAGCCAAUAGAACAUUCUAAAGCAAAUAUUAGUUUAUUCCUAACAGGCUAUUAAGUUGACAAGCAUGGCCGUUUAAUUUUGUUGGUAAAACUAGCUAAUAAUACAGACUAACAUCAUUGAAACAAAUAAUUAGUUUUCUCUAAGAUAUUAGUUUUCAUAAUAUUGGAGAGUAUAAGUGUGAUGUGAAAUCAAGAGUAGAAGUGGAAAAUUGUAUCAUACAAGUGAAAAGAAGAUUCAAAAUCCGAAUCUUAAAAUUUCGAAUUAAACUGUGUUAUCAAGUUUUUUUAUUUGAUUUUUUAUGGUUCAUUCGCAUAAAUCUUCAAUUAUGUGGUAGCUUGAUAUGGUAUGGAUACAGUGACAAACAAUUAACAUUAACAAUGGCAAAUUCAGUGCUGACAUGCACGUUCAGCUGCGUCUGAAACUAGCGCUGGUCAUAUCUAGCAUGUGUUUAUAGGACAAGUGGAUGAUACUCUAAGUUCCACAUGCCAACUAUUAUGACUUCGUAUUAAUUGGAAUAAAUAACUACUUUAUAAUUAGCAAUACAUCCAACUUGCUGAAUAAAAGAAUAUUAAAUAUUAAUCAAUUGUCCCCCUCUUACUACGGACAUGGCUAUAUAUAAUGUUCAAGAACAUCAAGUUUUGCAAUCACAACAAACCAAAAAGCAGCGCUAACUAGCUAGACUAAAAUGGCAGAAACUGCAGUGUCCUUGGCUGGUAAGCAUGCCCUUCCAAAAAUAUUGGAAGCUGUCAAAAUGGUGAGAGAUCUCCCAAAAGAAGUUAGAGACAUUACAGAUGAACUUGAAAGCUUUCAAGAUUUCAUUAAUGAUGCUGAUAAAGUGGCUGAAGCUGAACAAGAUGAUGGAAGGCGUCAUAGAAUAAAAGAAAGGGUGAUGCGGCUGAGAGAAGCAGCUUUUCGCAUGGAAGAUGUCAUCGAUGAAUAUAACAUCUCCUGUGAGGAUAAGCAACCUGAUGAUCCUCGAUGUGCAGAUUUACUAUGUGAGGCUGUUGCCUUCAUCAAAACUCA